CACAUCCACGUGUAGGAGCAAAUCAUGUACAUAGGUAUCUACAAGGCCAGUGAGGAUGCUACGACUUUGGCCUUCCUCAACCGGUUGGAAGCGUUGGAUGCCUUUGCUGAGAAGCACCUCGACCUCACCACAAAAGCCGCCGCUCCUUAGCCGCCGGUCGGUGGCCCAGCGCACUAAGUUGAGGAGGAGGAGGUCGUACGUUCGUGGAUCCAUCUUUCUUCUUGCCUUCUGUAACCACCACUGCGAUCGCAUCAUCGUGGCCUUAAUUCUUAUUGUGCUAUCGCAUUCUCGUUCCAGUCAAUAACGACAUGUGCGAUCCCUUUGCUUAAUUAUAUGCAUCACUGUAACUAGUACUCCAUCCAUCAAUUUAUAAGUUGUGCUUACCUUUUCCAUCAACUUCGUGCAACGCGCGGGCAUCUUGCUAGAAACACUAGAAUAUGUCUAUAUAAUCCGUAUGUGAUAGUCCAUUUGAAAUCUCAAAAAAGACAAAUAUUUAGGUACGGAGGGAGUAAUAUAUUAGGAGUAUAUCAAAACAAUAGUGAUUUCUUUCAAGUUUGUGAACAAACACUACUAUUCUACUACUUUGGAUCCGUCGCAACGCACGGGCACAUUGUUGGUAAAAGGAAAAGGCCUGCCGCAUUCGCGUCGCACCCCCACACGCCCGGGAAUCGGGAGUACAACACGGCCCGUCCGGCACGACAAAUAGCUUAGGGAAGGCGUGUUGCCUAGCAUUUUCACUUUCAUGUGGGACCGCCUUGAGCAAACCGACACCUCGCCCGCUGCCGGGUUGGAAAACAAAAACGAGGGGAAGAUCUAGCUGUAGCAUGGAAGCCAAGAAUUUGGUGUCAUACGGGGCUCGUUGAUAGAGUAGGAGCAUUUCGUACUAGUACUACUCCUACUAGUACCAAGUUUGUACUCCUAGUACUAUAUUACUAGCACUACCACUAUAUAAUUAGUAGGUACGUGCACGGCACAACAUCGUAGGAACAAAAAACGGGAAGAUCUUGUUUUGGGUGAUUUAUCUUUUUUUCAAUCAACGUAGUAUGAAUAAUAUGAUGUGGGCGCACCCAUGAAGCUUAUGUGGCUUGGUUGCAUGGCUACGGAAGGUUAGAGAAAAAUAAAUAGAUAAUGUGUUUAGAGUGCACUCCACUAAAUAGAUAUACUUUGGAUCCAUUGCAACGGACCGGCACAUCUAUAUCUAUGCCCCCUAUAUAGUGUGUGAAAAACUUUGAAAGUUGGUCGUUGGAUGAAGCCAAUCCGACGGUACAAAGAUGGCAAAUCCGAGCACUACUGGCUGUUGGAUAUCAUCCACCAGAUUCUGCCACAUGUAUAAUCUAGAAGACUCCAUGGUUCAACUUAAUUCAUGACUAACUUUGCAACAACUAAGCUUAGGCAAAGUUAUUAGUUCUUCAAAAUGAGAGCCACAAGUUGGCAAGCCUAAGGGAAUCUUGCCACAUUUUUUCUGUGUAUGUCAUGUGGGGCCUUAGUGUGGCUUGCCUAAGGUGUGUCUUGAACCAAACACUCACCUAAGUUAAUCAAACUUGCCUAACCUUACAUUCCACCAGAUUUUGCCACCUAAGUUAAUCCAGAAAGCUCCACAUGUAGAAGCAUAAUGCACAAACCACCAGAAUCUCAUGCGUGCAAUGCACGUGUACCUUACUAGUACUAGUUGGUAGUAGUAAGAAACAAAUUCUAGUUUUGGCACGAGCUCAUACUGUGGGAGCACCACAAGGCCUGCCCGGGAGUUACAUUUCCCUCUCGGAGCCCACGGGACCGAACUUCAGUGGCUUCAUGCCCGGCCUAUGAGUCAAUGACAUGCGGACCUUAAAUGCGGUUGGCCCACAUGUCAUUCUCAUGGUGGUGGCGUGGUUCGCGACUCACUCGUUCGAGAUGAACCGGCCGAUGGUGGCGUGGCCGUGGUGAGGGUGCCACAGCUGGGCGUUGGGGCGUUACAAGGCGUAGAUGGCCACACCGGCGGGUACUACCUAUAGUACAUAAGUACUCCAACUGAGGAUUGAUGCCCGGGACGAAAUGUGUCACAGCCGCUGGAUGAAAAUUCAAUGGUGUGGGAGUACGGAUCGGAGCACAACAGCGGAGCAGGCAAACCGCAUCCAAUCGGGUGUGUCUGUGGUAGAAAGUUGAUGGUCGCCGCAGUUCAGCUGGCCCGCAUGUCAUGCACACAAAGGCAGAGGAGCAGUGGGCCGAGAGGGAUGAGGGGCACGUCGGGGGGAUGAGGAUCCCCUGACGCGAACAAUCCUACCAUUUUGUCACUGACAUGUGGGACCCAUAAGCGUGGGUCCCACCUGUCAGCGAAGGAAAGGCAGGGCAAGGUAGCGAUAGCCAUGUCAGAGGAUCCAUGUCCACGUCGGGGGACGUCGUGUCGUGGGUUGGAUCGGCGUCGUGGGAAUCGCGUGUAAGUGUGGCAGUGGUAGAAACAAGAAACGUGAUGGUCGCCAUGGUUCAACUUCCAUGGACAAGCUAUCAUGUCUGCUGACACAUGUAUAUCAAAACUAGAGUGCUUAUAUUUCAAGCACGUGAACAAGUAUUAUUCUACUACUUUGGAUCCAUUGCAACGCACGGGCUAGCACAUUGGUAGUAGUAGUGUCCAUCUCUAUCUCUAGAGGCCUUCCCUCAUUCAUCCUUUUCUCUCACAAGAUAAACUACUCAUACAAAUGCAUCUUUAUGUUCCAUGGAACGCACGAGGAUGUUUCCUUGGGGGUCUCUCCAGCGCGGCGUGGCCGUAGUUGCAAGUUGACGCCCCUUGAGAUGCCCAUGUUGAGGGGCACUCGGAUUUCCUCCGAUGAGCAGGUAAGAUGAGUUUGAUCACGUAGUAAAUGCAUUCUAAAGACUACUUCCGUGUCCAUUUCCUAAUUCUCCCACUGCCCACUGUUUCACAGGUUAGGCUCGGUGCGAGUGGAGAUUGGCUUGCAUAUGUACGGGAGGGUACCAACAUCAAUUUGCACAACAUUUACAAUGGUGACACUGUUCCCGUAGAACCUUUGUCCAACAUUGGGAUCAGCCAUGCAACGGGCCACCGCAUGAAUUGGUACGAUGGAACCACGGUGAGAUUGAAUAAGAUAGCACGAACCUUGCACAUGGCGGUCAAAGGCGGACCAUGCUGUCUGCGACCGAUUUGUUGCCGUACGAGUAAGAAGACGCUGUGCUCCUUUCUAACCGCAUCUUCGCGGUGACAAACCAUGGGACUUAUUUUGUAUGGGACACAUCCUAUGAUAUACUCCCUCUCUCCCAGUUUAUUUGUUUUGAAUCUUUUCGUUUUAUAAGUUUCAAAUUCAAAUUUAGAGCUCCCCAUCACAUGUUGAGAUUACAAUGUCCAAUAAAUCGUUGUGUGCAUGUAUAGUAAAGAAACAAAUCUUGAGUUUGGCACGAGUUCGUGCUGCGGGAGCACCACAAGCCCUGGCGCAGGAGUUACAUUACCCUCUCAGGGCCGUCGGGACUGAGCUUCAGUGCCUUACUACACCUACCUUUGAGUCAAUAACAUGUCGACCCGAUAGGUGACUGGUCCACAUGUAAUGCUCCCGUAGGCAGAGGGGCAGUGGGGCCAAGAGGGGUGAGCCGCAGGUCGGGGGACAUGUGGUUUCAUGGGUUCGAGCGGCACCGUGGGAAACGCGCGUGGCUGUGGUAGAAACUUGAUGCUUGCCGCAUUUUAGGUGGCCCACAUGUCAUGCACACAAAGGCAGAGGGGCAGUGCGGCCGAGAGGGGUGAGGCGCACGUCGGGGGGCGUGGUGCCGUGGGUUGGAGAGGCGUCGUGGGAAUCGCGAGAUGAAAUGUGAUGGUCGCCGUAGUUGAACUUCCAUGGACAAUUUGUCAUGUCUACAGACACAUGCACUGCAUACCGAUCACUGGAAGGAGUAACAGAGAAAGCUAUAUAUGCAGAUAAAUAGUUCCUUAUAGUCAAGCGGACCCAUGCUACUACUCUAUUCCAAAGACAUGCACACCAUCGAAAUAGUCCAUCUAUAUCAAUAUACACCGAGAGGGAAUAAUUUUUUUACAAGAGAGGAAAUAGUUCAUCCAUCCAUAAUGCCCUCCUGCUGGUGCAGCCUUUUCUUCUUCUUCUUCUUCUUCUUCUUCUUCUUCUUCUUCUUCUUCUUCUUCUUCUUCUUCUUCUUCUUCUUCUUCUUCUUCUUCUCAUUCUCUGUGGAAGACGGCUUCGCAACAAGCUCUUUGGACCUUGCAGCUAUCUCGAAACUCACACGGGCAUCGAGGGCAGCAUAUUUUAUCUGCUCGUACAUCAAGGGAUAAUUCUCCCAUCCAGACGACCUUAAUGCCACCGUCUCGUCACCCUUCUGAAGAUUUGUACCGAGCACAAAAUUUGCUACGUCGAAUAGGGAUGGUGUCUGUUUAUCACAAUCUUCUACAGGAAUUUUCAUUCUGGUUUGUAGGUCAGCGAUGCUUUUCAAAUCAAGGUUGUACGGCUCCAGCUUCUGUUUGUCCCCUUCGAUGGUUGCCCCACAGAAGUAUACAUCCUCCCGAGACAAGAAAUUGUGAAGCUCACCUGGUAUGGAGGGCGAGUGUAUGAUGUGGUACACCAAAACAUCAUCUUCGUGGCACAGCUGAAGGACAGCGGCGCGCUGGAUCUUCCCAGGGGCAUGCUCCGUGUACUCUGCGUCGAGACUGAUGACCCUCGUCUCUACCUUUUCGAGGGAGUUGGAUACAUUGUUGAUCCACUGCCGAACAACCCUUGGGUGGACGGUGACGGUGGCAACUAUGCGCAUCGAGCCUUCGAUGAGGACAUGUUGGAUGCUAAAAACCUGCAUCUCGACCUCUUCCGCCAUUUGGAACCACUGGAACGGAGGGCUAUGGUUUGGAGAAUUAGGAUUAGAUGGCUAAUCUAACUGAAGUAGUAGAUGAUUAUUUAAAGAGGUUAAAACAAUGUGAACGUAGUGGGGUUUGGAUGCAAAUGAAGACGAAGGGGAAGUGAAGAAGCCGAGGAGAAUCGGUUCCUGAUGGAGAAGUAAAUGGGAGAAGUGGCGUGCAGGCAGUUGAUUAGACGGCUAGGUAGACUAAACGAAAAGGCUAUGCGGGUAGACUGAUGAGUCGUACCUGUUCGUGUACGUGCCCAUCCUUCCUGAUAGAUGGGACCUAUGCAAACAGAUAAAAAAUGUGUCGUAGUUUUUUUUAGCGCGUGAGUGGGAGACACAACAUUCUCUGGUUAAGGAAUACUCCAUCCAUUUAGGUGAGUAUAAGUCACCUUAUGAAAAUCAGGUUUUCCCAAAACCUUUAGGCGUGGAGCAUUAACUUCCUGCUCGAUCCCCUCCCAGCCUCGUUAGCCAGCGUUCUCUUCCUUUGCUGCUGUGUUCUACCUUUCCAUUUUUCCUCUUCUCAAGUGUGGAACGAUCUGCAUGCCGUCCUUGAUGCACCAGAACGACCACUGCAUGCAUCGCGACAGGGCGUUGAUUGGGCAUGCACGAGAAUUUGGUUAGUCCUGCCUUCGGUCGCUGCGUGUUGUCGCUCAACAGUGGCAUGGAGGCGCUUGACGACCAGUUUGCCGGCAAAGUGCUGAUGGUAACCAUCAACGGCGACCGGCCUCCCGUCUCGCCGGACGACCUUGUCAAAGCUCUUGGCAUUGCGCAUGGCAUCCAAAUAAGUGACUUGCUCGUCGAAGUCUGUCCGCCACCGGCUGAUUUCUUCGUCAGGUUCUGGACAACUUUCGACUGCAACCGUGUAUUCAAAUCUUCCCGGCGUUUGUUCUGCGAUGGAGUGCUAGUGAGCUUUGAUCGGUGGCACCCAGGAUGGGGCUUGGUGCCCUCUGAGCUUGAGUUUUUAACAAAGCUUAACUUCCAUGGCAUGCCUCGAUGUGCUUGGAACAGCGAGUCCAUGAACGGGCUUAUCAACGACCUUGGAGGUGAGCUCGUAAGUAUGUUUGUUCCUCCAGACAGUUGGGCUCUAACGAUUAUGGCAUGGAUGAAGAAGCCGUCCACCAUACCGAAGGUGAUUGGUGUUGAGAUACCGGUGCAGGAACCGAGUUGUACUAUUCAUCGCCACCAAGGCCGUCGCGGACCACGUUAGGGAUGUACCUGUAUCGAGUGUUCGUGCAUGUCGAAGAAGUGGUCAAUCCAUCAAUCGAAGUCCUGUCGCCGCCGCUGGGGCCAGUGUCCGUCGACGACGUCCAUUACAGGAGUCAAUGUCAAACUUUCCCCGUGUUGCUCGGAAUGAUGGAUGGCACAGGGCCUACUCCAUCGCGCGGCGGAGGCCACUGCUUCUUUGGGAGAAGAGGCAGGGUUGGCUGCCUGGAUGUGCUCUAAUUUAAUGUAACAACUGAAUCUUGUCAGAUACUAGUUAAAUCCGAGCUAUGGGUGUGAAGAACUGAUAUGCCAGUACAUUUGAUUGUGACAUGUUCUAAUUUUGUACCUGAACUUUUUUUAGAAAGGGCUGUACGUCAACUUAAUGUGCUAGCAGAACUUAUUGUGUUGUCUAUCUGUUUUUUUGCACAACAUUCAAGAUAUUUCCCCGUCAUUGAUAAAGAUGAUGAACCGUUAUGUACGACUUCGUUGGUUUCAACAUAGCCCUUCCCGUAGUGAUCCACUGCUUCCAUCCUGAUUGUGCCGCAUGUAUGAGUUUUUUGUAUGCAAGUUCAGUGUGCUAUGAUGUUCUAUAUGAUUGUGUCAACUAUAUAAGUUUUUACUGAGCAUCAGCAAUGCAUAUGGUUGAAAGAUGUAUUUACGAGCAUCGACCGAUGGGUCUCUCUCUCUCUCUCUCUCUCUCACACACACACACACACGCACACACACACACGCACACGCACACGCACAAGUGGGACCCGUUGAAUUAUUUAUUUGCUCGUGAGAACUUUUAAUUACGUUCCACUGUAAUCUUACUUUUUUUCUUAAGUUAUUAGUUGAGCUCAGUGACUUCAAAAAGUUGUACAGAAGCCUUGUUUGGGCCUUUCCGGCGUCGCUGAAUGUGGGCUGAGUAACCAUGUUAGGUUGUGUUGUACUACACAGGCCUUUUUUUUCAACAUCAGCAAUGCAACUGGUUGGACAGUUGUACACAAUAUUCGGGUCAACUUGUUAUUCUCCGCCCCGCUGGGCAGCAAACUUUCCUAGGAGGUAUGCAUUAGGCUUAACAAGAAAAUGGACUUUAAGAAAUAAUAAAUGGGAUGUAAUUAUAAUAACUGGACAGUUACUAUGCACCAAACACGUAAUUAGUUUGGAAAAUAUAUUAUUUUUGGAAUUUGAAAAUUUUAAUUUCAUUACUUGUUGCACGCGCAAUAUUUCGUUGGAUUUUAACGUAAUACAACUUUAUUUUGAAAUUAUAUUUAACCUGACUAGAAAUUUUGGAUAAAAAUAUUUCGGAUCCCAUCAAAAUGUGGGAAUUUUUUUUUUGAAUUCUGUUUUGAGCAGUUGUUUGAAAUUAUUAAUCGUUGCCCUAGCUAGAAGUUGUGUUGUACUUUUAACAAACUGUAAAUGGGCUGUAGUAAAUUCCAUUAGAAUUAAAAAAUGGGAUGUACAUUCUUACAAAUCGCAAAUGGGCUAUAUGUUCUCUGCCAAAUCCGAGCUGUGGGCCUACUAAGUUGACGCGUACCAAGGGCUUUGUCAACUUAGUCAAUAUAAAUGAUUCUAGCUGCAGUGAUCGUACGAUGUCCAUCCAACAGUCAUAGUGCUUCUUCAACCUCUGGUCUUCUUGCUCCAGCCGCCCAAAGCAUCGUCGGUCGUGUCGCGUGCUCCUCCCUCCCGUGGUCGGCUAUGAUGUCGCGGAGGCCUCACCGCCCCGUACUACUCCCACCGCUGGCUAGGCCAUCCCUCUACUCACCCACACCCCAUGUUAUUCUGCGGCGACGACAACCUCACACCGCAGCCGAACCAGUGAACCCUCGUACCCCUCUCCGUGCGGGCUUCCACUGCUGCGUCUUCCCCGGCUCCGUGUCGUCUCCUUCCUAGGCAUCGCUGUCGUUCAGACAACCGCCCUGGUGCUCUCGGCGCGGCGUGGUCAACGACCGACUUCCAUCGGAAGAGUACUGUACGUGGAGAGGCUGACAGUUGGGUCCAGGCGGCCGCAAGGAAGUGCCUCCUUAUUACGCGCAAAAUAAUUAUUCCUCCACCUGACAGCAGGGACCCACCGGACAGGCCACCUUAUUUCACAAAAAAAGUUUCACCCCUGACUGUUGGGACCCACCGGACAGGUCAGCGUAUUUCGCGAAAAAAACGUUCCCCCCGUUGUCAGCUCGGACCCACCGGAAGUGCCUCCUUAUUACGCACAAAAAAAUGAAUACUCCCCCUGCUAGUUGGGACCCACCAUGGUGGGAGGCGGACUUGUGGGCCUACUAAGUUGACUGGGACGGGGGCCUUUGUCAACUUUAGUCAAUAUGAACGAUUCUAGCUUCAGUGACCGUACGAUGUCCAUCCAACGCCCGUAGUGCUUCUUCAACCUCUGGUCUUCUUGCUCCAGCCGCCCAAAGCAGCGCCGGUCGUGCCGCAUGCUCCUGCCUCCCGUGGGCGGCUGUGCUGCCGCGGAGGCCUCACCGGCCCCUACUAUUCCCACCGCUGGCCAGGCCCUGCGGCGACGACAGCCUCACACCGCAGCCGAACCAGUGAACCCUCGUACUCCUCUCCGCGCGGGCUUCCACUACCACGCCUUCCCCGGCUCCCCAUCAUCCCCUUCCUAGGCCUCGCCAUCGUCCACCGCCCUGGUGCUCUCGGCAUGGCAUGGUCAACGUGGUCAAGGAACGACUUCCAUCGGACAUGGACUGUACGUGGAGAGGCUGACAGCUGGGACCCACCGGACGGGUCAUAGUAUUUCGCGAAAAAAACGUUUGCCCCUGACUGCUGGGACCCACCAGCUACAUCUUCGCACGCAAGGAAGUGUGUCCGGGCAAAAAAACGAUUCGCCCCCUGACUGCUGGGACCCACCAGCUACAUCUUUGCAGGCAAGGAAGUGCCUGACAGUCGGGACCCACCUGGUCGAAGCGUACGUAGCGUUGUCAUUCUGGUCGCGAACGUGUACGUACAUAUAUACUGGUGGAUGUAGAGGCACGCACGUGUCGUAGUAGAGGUGCGUACGUGUCGUAGUAGAGGUGCGCACAUAGCAUGUACACGUACGUACAGCGGCCAGGGUGCAAGAAAGAAAAUACAGCCAUGUAUGUGUACAUACGAGCGGGGUCUCGAACGCCUACUCGCGCAUACAUACGGCCAGGGCUCAUGUACAUGGGUGGGUCGGAACGGAGAAACAACGUCGUCGUCGUGUUCAUGGGGAGGCAACAGAAUGCGUCGUGUUCAUGGGGAGGCAACGGAAUGCGUCGUGUUCAUCGGGAGGCAACAGAACGCGUGGGAGCCAACCGACUGGGUUGGAACGGAAUGCGUGGUCGUGUUCACCGGGAGGGCUUGGAUGGAACAGGCGAUGGAAACGAGGCCUGGUGUACCGCAAAAUGGAGGAAACGGCCUUGUGUUCAACCGGCCACGUUCGAAACGGGAUCAUGUUCAUCUGGAGGGGUCUGGCGUACCGCAAAAUGGAGGAAACGGACCUUCUACGGUCGAAACGGGGGUCCUGUUGAUCGGGAGGGGUGUGGCGUACCGCAAAACGGAGGAAACAAACUUGUGUUGGAGCGCUACGGUCGAAACGGGGGUCCUGUUCAAUGGGAGGGGUGUGGCGUACCGCAAAACGGGACUCCACGGGAUACUGUUCAUCUCCACCGUCGACCUCCUCCAGCCUCCACGGGCUACCGUCGACCUCCUCCAGCCUCCACAGGCUCCUAUUCAUCAAACCUCCACCGCGCGCUACUCCACCGGCUACUAUUCAACAACCCCUCCAUGAGCACCCCUCCAUCGUCUACUAUUCAUCCAGCCCUCCACACCACGGGGUCAUGUUCAACCACCCCUCCACAGGCACCCCUCCACCGUCUACUGUUCAUCCAACCCUCCACCACACCACGGGGUCCUGUUCAUCCAGAGGCAACGCCACCGCUCACUGUUCAUCCAAACACCACCGCAACGCUCACUGUUCAUCCCAGAGGCAGCGUCGAUCGGCUUCAGUUAGCAGCUGCAGCAAAGGAAUCGCUCGAUCGGGUUCAGUUAACAACCAUCGAUCGAUCGCUCGGGUUCAGUAACGAGUAGCCUGCAGUGCAAUCGGUCGGGUUCAGUUAGAGCACAACGCCUCGCUCGGGUUCAGUUAGAGCCAACGCCUCACACACACGCGCGUACAUGUACGAGAGAAACGCGCAUCGCUCGGCCCCCAACCUACCACCGUAACCGGGAACUCCCCGAAAUUUUCCUCCCCCUCGCUUCUACCACGAUUUUUCCGUCAUGGACGGCCCAAAGAAUGUCAUGCAGCUACGUCUCCGGCCCGCCCAGGACGAAAAGCCCAUUUUCUGUCAUGAUUUUUUGUCAUAGUAGUAGGAGCCCACCACAUCUAUGAUGAUACCGGGUUUUGUUACAAUUAUCGUCAUAGAAGUGUCAUAUGUAUGACAGAAAAAAAAUUCGUUCGGCCCAAAAUGUCACGGAUGUGUCUUUUUUUGUAGUGAUUCUAGCAAUAUGUCAUGGUUCAAACAUCAUGUAACAAUGAGAGGAAAACAGCUAUGACAGAGCCUACUCAUAUUCUACCAUAGCACUUGCUACUACUAUUCUCAUAUCAACUCUAAGCAAUAACAUGUGUUGUUACAAAAAUCUUGGAAAUGAGAGUAACAUAUAGCAAUCAUGAUGUUAUGCUCAUAAUAUCUAUUCUAAUAAUCAUUAGAUGCCAAUUAUUCUCAUAUCAACUCUAACAAUAACAUGUGUGGUCAUAAAAAUCUAGGAAAUGAGAGGAACAUAUAGCAAUGAUGUGGUUAUAGACAUACUAUCUAUUCUAAAUUUGUAACAAUGAACAGACAGUCGUAUUCAUAAGGUAAACAUGAGAUGAGAUAAAACAAUUACACGAUGAUAGAUCCCACCAGUAUAGGCAGCCAAUCUGUGCGUCGACCGCGUAAAUGAUGCCAUCAUGCACUAUAGCAUCAGACAGAAAUGUUGCCUCAACAGGAUUGACGAUGAGCCAUAACCAUGUAUGGCGACCGGAUUCCAGAUAGACUAAUCCCAUGUUGAACAAUGCAAUCAGCUUGUAAUCCAUGUAGUCUUCUGAUGGUGUGGGCACUUCACAGAUUAAUACUUUCAGCAAACAGAGGUUGAGCCAAAAGCUUGACGCCCAAAAGUAGCAUAGUAGGCAGGAGUGUCCGGCGGGCCGCGAGGCUCGAUGGCAGCGUUAUCCAACGAUUGAAGGGUGAUCUCUCGUUGGGUGUAGAUAUCCACGAGAUGCCACGGACUACCGGAUUGGUGGAUGAUGACGAUCCAGUUGGCCUUCAUGCCCGCCCAGUAGUGGCCGCACAUGAAGGACAAGUGGACGGGUAGUGGUAGCAUGUCGAGGGGCACCACGGCAACCUUCGUAGGAUCGUCAAGUUGGUGUCUGGGCCACCUGCGAGGAUCGGGCAUCAGCAAGCAGGGUGUCUUGAAAAGAGCCGGCCGGUUGCAGACGAGUAGACGGUACAAAGACAUCGAGCAUGCGGCCAGACGGACGGUGCUGAGUAGGUCCAUACGAUUAUAGAUCUGCUCCAAGAGAACAUCAUGGAGGGAAUUCCAAUCGCGGAUCUGCGUGUCAGUCGGUUCUGCCAUUGGGGUUUUCGGUGCCUGCGAGCCAGCAGGGAAGUGGAUUUGGGCGUGCAAGCGAAUAAGUUUCUCCUCGUGUGGCCCAGCAGUGAGCGGGGGGGUAUGGUACGUGCAAGCUACCAAGGAAUAUAGCGCGGGCGGGUGAGCAGUGAGCAGGGGGAAAUGGUGUGCGGCCGACGAUGGGGAAGAGAGGAGGAAGAAGAAGAGAGGAGGAAGAAGAGUCUAAGACGGGGAAGAAAGUGCAUUAAAUCUCAAUUCUACUACUACUACCAGGAUAUACCAUCCUUCGGAGUGUAAAUAGUUACACCAAUGACAUGUGGGUCUACCACAAGAGGGCCCAUAUGUCAGUUAACGGAGGACAGAAGCAUGCUCUACGGGCAAACAUGAUGGCAGUACUGGGUAAGGCUAAUUUAGUAACACCAACACGCUGGUUCAGCUUAUUAAUUAAGUGUCCCAUAUGUUGUAGCGUGUAUUGCCACUUCACUGCGUAGACUAGUUGAAUAGUUCUCUCUGACCGAGAUGGGGAAUAAUGGAUCACAAUGACUUCCUUUCUAGUUAUCCCUAUGCCUCUACGCUCACUUCACUCAUUUUGCUCCGUACGCAGUCACUUGUUGAAAUCUGUAAUAAGAUAAAUACUCCGUAUUUGGGAAUAGAGGGAGGAUUUUACUCCGUAUUUGGGAACAGAGGGAGUAUCACCGUAUGGAGGGAAUAGAGGAAGCUUGAAAUAUGAACAUGUCAGUGGGAGGGAGUAAGCCCCAUGCAUGCAUGCAACAUGCAGCACUCACACAUACACAUGGACGCACGCAACACUCAUGCACCCAUGCGGCACAUAGCACACGACGCAACACACACGCUCAUGCUCAAGUGCUCAACCUACUCCCUACGUCCGUGAAAGACUGUACAUUUAGAGAUUUACACAUUGACCAGGGCAUAAUUAAUGCCCAAAAGUAGCAGACUUAUGUGUGCAUGCGACCAUUGAGAGAAGAAGAUUAAUUGAAGGUCGUUGCAUGCUGUAAUUAAGGAUAGACAUGUAGCGUAUACCUAGAGCACAAGUUAGUGCAUUAGUCAAUCAGUAUCGAUUUAGAUUAAAGGCUAAAUGCAUUGGAAGUGUAGAUGUACUACACUCUUUGUUUUUAGCCGACGUACACUCUUUGUUGGAAGACCGAGGGAGUACACGUGCAUGCACUCACAUACACAGCCAGGGUGGUUCGCGCGCAAGGGUUGGACUCUUGUCGCGCCUGCAUAAAGUUUUGUUUAACUGAUUUCUUUGCUCUACCAACUGACAGGUGGGACCCAGAAACCAGGUGACAAUUUAACCAGUCAACAAAGUGCCACGUCGACUAUGUGGCCGGUCAGUAGGGUGCAAUACGGUGCUCUACGAUGAGCUAGUGAUUGUAUAAUCACCGCAAAACUAUAUAUAGUGACCAUAAAGAGCGUAUUGUUACAUACUUUGACCGCCAGUGUAUUUUUCUCAUUUCAAAUUAAGCCAUAUUAACCGGAAAGGACGCAGUAUGGACUAGUACUAGUACUACUUUGAUGUGUCCCGUCAACUCGCCGAACAAGGAGAAGCUUGCUUACUACGCCUCUCCAUCGCCCACGCACGUGGUGGUUCAUAGGACGAGGAGAGGGUUUUGACUACAGCGCCCUCUCCCUCUCCCUCGCCCUUGCCCUCGCGGUGGACGUGCAUCAGUUCAAUCGGUGUCAGAUUUCCAGAAGCAUAAUGUAAUGUAGUAUCAUCAUUGUUGGACCUUCCGAAGAGGCUAAGAGCCAAGUGCAAGGUUCACACGAGUACGAACUGUUGAACCUCCUGAAGAGGCAAAGAGCCAAGCGCAAGGUUUUAUAGGAGUUUUUGUCCUAGUAGGAGUGUACUACAACUAUAGCGAACGAUGCUACUGUAUGAUGCCGCCAUGUCACGUAUAUCCAAUGUUGUGCCACUUUUUUUUCUCAAAGAGCGUGUUGGAGCCCGUGCAACAACCACACAAGUUGCACGUACACAUAACACAUUUACUAGUAAUAAAUUCUAAAGGACAAAUGCCAGUAUGACACACAAGUUCAUCUCCAAUUCAUGUGAUAAAUUUGUGCACGACCAGUCUACAUAUAUUCAUAGUGCUACCGUUCACAAUUUACCGUACUCCACUUACACGUUAUAGAUGGGCUACAUGUCCUCCUCCAGGUUCCAGUCCCAGGUGUUCUUCAUGGAUGGCACGAUCCAUAGCGGUGGGCAACGGGAAUCAUUGUAGCAGCUUUCUAGUCCGGUUCCACACGAUGGAGACUCAUCCAAGCUAAAGUGACAUAACUCAGGGAUAGCGUGUCCCAGCAUGUCAUUCAUCCGGCGGUGCGCACUGAAGACACAACCAUGCUUCAUGAACGGCAGGCCUUCUGUGUCGUGCACGGAAGGUGGUAUCCGCUUCACAAUGGGGUAGCUAUCCCUAAUGAAAAGCGAGUACUCUCCAAGAGUGUUCCUCGGCACCCAUGUAGCAUCACGGGGGUCGAACUCGGUGCCGUUCAUCUGGUACACGCGGCAUCUCAGAUCUGGACACAUGGUGACGUACAUAGUUAGGGUCCAUGCAUAAUAAUGUUGUGCUCAAAUAUGGCGGUCAGUAAUACUGUGCAGCAAAUAGUACUACUCCGGUAUAGAGGAAUUAAAAUAACCGGCUUAUUAUAUAUAGCCACUCUUGGCUACAUGGAUGAGAUAUUAAGACAUGGAAAAACAAAAAUGGUGGCAGCUAGUGGGUUCAAGUCUUCAAGGGCCUAGCUAGCUAUACACGUCCUCUAAGGUAAAAAGUACUCCUACUAGUACGUAAGUAGAGUACUAGUACAACAAUGAAAGAGAAGGCGAGAGGGUUAAAAAAUGGAAUACCUGGGUAGAUGGUGACGGUCCGAUCAUGGUAGAUUGUGUGACCAUGUUGCACAUCAGUGGUACCAUGGGUAACAACUACUAAGAUAGUUGAUCCCAAUAUGCCAAAGUUAGCUACAAGGUUCCAGGUUCGAUCGAAUCGCGGAUGCAAAUGCACAUCCAGGAUCGGCGAUCUUAUUUUGAUCGCAAGAUGACUGGUCCCUGCAAACUAAUGGAGUACCGUUAGGGAUGCAAAUGAUGGUUUGUGCCUUCCGUUUGUAAUCUCCCGUACCGUAGGAUGGCAACCAGAUGAAACUAGUCCCCUGGCAUGUCAUCGCGAAGAUGCGGCCUAGAUGGCGCACGGCAUAUUCGAACGUGUAGGGGUACAAAUUUGCCACCGCCAACAUGCGCAGCCUGUGCCGUUACUGCCUCUUGCAUUGUUGGCAACCCUUAUGUCGAACACCGCGAUGAGAUAGUAAUCGUUGUAGCCAUGUCGCUUUGUCGGCGGGUCCGCAAUUGCUAUCUCCUUCAAUCUCAUGUAGGCACCAUCAUACGUAUUCAAGCUCAGCCAGUCACAAAGGCCAAUCCCAAUGGUGGAGAAGGGGUCUACCCGAACGGCCGCACUGCUGUGGUUGUUGUGCAAAAUGAUGGUGGUAUCCGACCGGAGGUAUGCAAGCGAAUAUUCGUUGGCACCGACCCAGACCUAUAUAUAAGACGAUGGGCAGCGGAGAAAUUACGGGAUGGAAAUGGAAUAACUAAGUACUACAUGAUCAAACUCCAUUACUGACCUGCUCAUUGGACAAAAUCCGACUACCUCUCAACGUCGGCAACUCUAGCGGAGUCAACGUGCAACCAUGGCCAGGGAGCGGUGGACUGUUCGAAGGAUUGUCCCAUAGAAGAACGUUCUCCUCAAGGACACAUGGAAGACCAACAAGCAUGGCCUUUUCCCAAGCCUUUUUAAGCACCGUCUUGAAAAAGUUGGUGCAGGAAGCACCGAGUCUUGCGGCGGUGAGGAUGUCGGAGCGGCGUGCAAUUUCUCCCAAAGGAUCAUCGUCCAAGGUAUCCCAGCCCCGACAAGGAGGAGAACCGCCUGGCGGAUCCAUGGGAGCAGCGACGAACUGCCUUCUCUUCGGGGGGAGGGGAACUGGCGGAGAGGAGAUAAGAGCGUAGUAACUGCAGGGCCUCGUCUCUUCCAACUGUAGAUCGUUCCUUAGCGAAGGGGUGAGGCUAUUAUUUACUACUAGUACUAGCAUUAUGAGACGUUAUGGGAUUGCAUUAUACUGUAAAUAAUAGCACUAGUAUGAAAUUUUUGGCACUAGCUAGUAGUUUUUGGCGUGGAUUAAGAAAUUUUUGGUAUGUUUUUGCUAUUUUUUGUACACGCCAACUAGUGUCAAAAAACAUCUUACAUUAUGUGACGGAGGAGUACGUACUCAUACUGUAGCAGUACUAGUACUACCUUCUCAACUAGUAGUGCGAUGUACUGUACUUCUAGUAUAGUGCACCAGUUUUGAACUCUUGAAUCUCAGGGCCAAGGAGCUACAGUUUGAAGUGGAGGGUACUACAUACUGUUCUCUAGAACCAUCAUUGUACUAUCAAUGCAGGGAAAGUACACCUACGUAGUGGCCUAGUGCGUACUCUCGGUGCUCUAUUCAGCCGCUCCUCUCACGUAGCUGGCCUACUCAGCCGCUCCUCUCACGCACACACUAGCAGCCUGUUUAUCAGCGACGGUUACUAGGGGGCGAAACAUUUGAGUUAUUUGAUACAACGAGACUAGGCUUUUCACUUCCAUUUGUGGAGGUGUAAUGGAUCUCAUCGAACUUUGUUAGUAGUUCCUUCUUUAUGAAUGAGAUGAAGCAAAGCUUUUGCCUCCGUUUCAAAAAAAACACCAAGAGGAAUUUCUUUUAUAGUAGAGCCAAUAAUGGAGUGAACUCCAUGCAUGCAACACCACAAGCUACAGAGUAGUAGUAGAGCACUUUACGUACAGAGCCAUAUUGCAUAGUUCCUAAUGCCCCGCCAGGCUUUUCCGACUCCUCGGGCCUAAUUGGGAGGCGCUAGUUUAAAUAUGCUACUAGCUGAUGAGGAAGCUGCAAGCAAGGUGUGGCUAGGGCGAGCACGCGAGCCAAGAGAUGUUGGGGAGUGAAGGAAAAUCUGUUCAUGUGGCUAGGCUAUCCAGUGCACCCAGAUUGUGGUGUCGCACGUUCGUUUGACUUCAAAACUCAAACUACCAGUGUAAAAUAUUGGCUCGCAGCAAAGUAACUAUUUAAAAAAAGGCCGCCAUGCGUCCGGCCGGGAUCGAACCCACAAAACGAGGUAUACACUCCCGCGACCACUAGCAGUACUCGUUGGAGUACAACGCGACCUAGAAUCGCCUUUUGUCGCUAGUAGUACAUUGUUCCUUACAAGAAACCCCUAAUAAUGCAAGAAACCACUAAUAAUGCCAAGAAACUACUACCACUCGUAUACGUGGCAGACUUAAGAUAAGACUACCUUAUCAACAUUGUACAUGCUCUUACCAACCAGCCCUACCAAGAAACGACUACUCUACAAAGUGCUUUUAUAGGCACGUUUCAACCCAUGGCCCUGUUUGGGUACAUUUAUUGUCAAUCUAGCCUGCCAUCCAAACACCACUUUGGUAAGAGUUAGUUCCGGGUUAGAAUCUAACUCUAACCUCUGACUUAGAGUAUCCAAACAGGGCCCAUGUCGCCCAUUAAGUCAACGCCUUCUAUUUGACUGGGCGUUAUGACUUGUGGGACCAACAUGUCAGUCUGCACAAAAAAUCCCCGAGUGACCUCCUACCUCCGGCCCGUCCACCUAGUCAUCCUCGGCCAUGGGACGCAGCUACCGCCGCCGGUAGAAGGCGAGGUCAAAACCGUCGGCGGUGCGGAGCCCAUCUUGUGGCAGCCCGGAUGCCAGCUCCGUCCGGCGCUCGCAUCCGCUAGCUAGCCAAGAUAGCUCCGUCCAGCUGCUUGUUUGCAAGGUUUGCUAGCUAGAUUGGCACGGCAGCUUGCUCGUGCGUGCUGAGCUAAGGCCAGCCAUCUGGCUCGAGCGAAGGCCAGCGCGGCGGCUUGCUCACUCAUGGGUCAUGCUCGGGCCAGCCUGCCAACCCAUGCAGAGGCCAGCGCGGCGUCCGGUCCGAUGGAGCGGCGGCCAACUCGCUCAUCACCGCCGCCAUCGACGAACAUGCAUUAGUACUGUUUGAAGUAAUGUUUAGGAAAAAUAAUGAUUUGAGGGGGGAUAACAGGAUAGAAGGUCAGAUGUGGGUCCCUCGUGUCAACGGUCAAACAAAAUGUGUUGGUUUAAUCUGCCUCGUCAGCACGGACGUGUGGGCUAACCCUGUCAUAAACGGGUUUAAACUAACCUAAUUGGUACCCCCUUUGUCCCAUAAUAUAAUAUGUUUUUGCAAGCUAAACUAGCUUGCAAAAACGUCUUACAUUGUGGGAAGGAGGGAGUACUAGAUAGUAGUUUUUGGCGUGGAUUAAGAAAUUUUGGGUAUGUUUUUGCUAUUUUUGUACAAUAGAUUCUUCCUAGGGCUGGUUGAAAGUGGUAGUUUUUUUGUUAAAUACUCUACAUAUUGUAAGUAGGAGUGAAAGUUAAGCUUUGGAACCCAAUAAGCAAGGCUAGUUACAUAGUGCAUAUGUGUACAUGAUUGAAAGUAAACAUCAACCAUGAGUGACUAAUAUCUUGAUGGAAAACUCGAAACUAUGGAAUAGUAGGAAAAAAUUGCAUGGUUGGAAAUACUAGCAAUGUUCAUGUGCGUUGAAACGAAUCAUAAUUAGAAUAAUACUUAUUCACAAACUUGAUACAAAACACUCUAAUUUUGAUAUACAUAUGUCACUAGAGUUAUAUUAUGUUUCAAUUAGAAUAUAUUCCUUGGGCUGUUUUUGUGAGGUCGGGGAGGGAUGUGGUUGGUUUUAAGAUACUAAUUAUGGGUUUUUUCCGCAAAUUGGUAGACAAGUGGGAUGUUGGUGAGGAAAGGCAACAACUUACCUCAUAGUCGUUAGAUGUAGAUCUAAUGGUCACAAACGACGGAUGGCAGACACACCAUCAUCACCAACUUAGUCUUUUAUAGGAGUACUAGCAAGAUUCGUGCAUUGCACGGAACAUCAAGAUGCCUUUUUAUAUAAAACACUUGUUGUGAUUGACCCAUGCUGGAGUAAUCCCAUGUGUAAAAACUAAUGAUAUCUCGAGAAAUAGGAGAUAAGGUGAAGAGGAUUGGGGCGUGGUGGUGAUUGGUGGUCGGACUGGGCGGAGGAUGCUGGCAGUGGCCACCAUGCCAGUUUGUUCCAGAGGCUUCCUUUCUUAAUUGCUCAACAAUGAGGUUGUUGGAGAUAAGGAUGAAUGAGGGAAGGCCUUGUCUGCAAAUGUUGAGAGGGGUGCGGGUAUCUAUUAGUUUAAUUUCCAUCCGUCAGAUAUAGAUCGGACGGUCUAUAUUGCAAGAUGGCACGCGUACCAUCAUCACCAACUUGGUUUUUUAUAAGAGAAGAAAUAUAAGUAUGGAGAUACAAACGUAUUAUCAAUACUUGUUUCCGUAAACUAGCAUCUACAUUCUAUUCAACGCCUCAGCAUGUGAGGCCUUAGCACAAUGACUUCUCGACUGUGUAAAACAAAGGUUUUCCCGUCGCCGAUAAGGAGGGGGUGACGGCGGCGUGCUUUUUGGCCUGCUCUAGUCCUAGUAGUCAUACUAGGUGGUCUAAGCACAUGUAGAUUUAUUCUUUUUCAUGUCUCGUGUUCGCCAUACUGCCACGACUGUUGAUGAAUAGACAGUAAGUUAUUCACGGGGAAACCCUUGUUGAGCGUGUUUGCGAGAGAGAGAGAGAGAGAGAGAGAGAGAGAGAGAGAGAGAGUGUGUGUGUGUGUGCGUGUGUGAUAUGUCUAGAGACUGAGGCAAUGAUAACAGAUUCUUUGUGUCUAUGUGUGUGGAGGAUAGAGAGAGACAUGUACAUGGGGCUUUGUGUUGUGUAACGUGGAGACACAUAUACAUAAUUAGAGAGUGAGUGUGUGAGAUACACAUGCGGACAUGGGGAGAGAUGAGGAUCCGGAUUAAUGGGUGUUUGUGCGUGUCUGUGUGUGUUUGUGCGUGCGUUUGUGUGUGAGAGGGAGCAUGUAUGUGGAGUAGAGAGACCACUAAUGAUGUAAACCUAGUAUAAGGAAAGGGGGAAUGGUGUGACAUGUGUAGUAGUGGGAUAGCAUGGGUGCGGGCGGGGGGAGCAGACUAUUUGGAAGAGACAUCGAGUGUGUGUGGGAGAGGGGUGUGAGAGAGAGAGAGAGAGCUAGCGACGGAGAGAGAGGGAGGAAGAGAGGGGCGAGAGAGGGGGCGUUUGUGACCAUAAAUGGCGUAUAGAUAGGGAGACAAUGUUGAUGUUGUUUGAAAUUGGCCUAUGUACGGAGACGCAAGGAAACGAGUCAUCGUGUGUGUGAUAGGGACUUCAUGAUUGGUCUAGAAUAGAUGGUGUAGAGAACAAUGUGCGAGAUCAAGAACGAUGAUACAUUAGGGAGAUAUGGAAAGAGUCACGACAUAUAUGUAUACAGGGAGGAGCUGGGGCGGGUCCGCAUGUGGGAGAGAUAGAAAGAGGAGAGUGGUGCACAAGGAGACAAAGUGUGCUUGUUUGCAUUGGGGGUGGUGUGUGAGGUGAGUGUGCAAGAACCACAUAAUAGGGAGAUAGACGUUUGGGGUCGAUGUUUUGUGUGUAUGGGAAAGAUGCACUCUACAUAGUGCGUGUGCUUGGGAAAGAGAGAUGCCGGGAUACCAAGAUAAAGAGUGGGGGGAGAGAUGUGUGCAUGCCCAAGAGACAAAGUGAUAGAGACCUAUAUUGGGGUCCAGACUUUAGAAGAGAGAGGGGUGUUAAUGUGCUCGUGUGUUGGUAUUUGGGGGAGAGAAUGACUUCUCUGUGUGUGGGAGGGCGACGAGGGGGGGUGGCUUCAGAUAAAGAGUGAGGUGUCUAUAUUUGAGGGACUUUAGCGUAAUUGAGAUAUACAUGGUCAAUAGUGUGUGCACUCAUGGUUGAUCAAUUUGUUUCACAGUUUGGACUAUGAGAUACCGAUACUUUUGAACAUGCGUGAUAUACCUUGAUGUACCAGAAUUACAAACCUAAGAUUGAAAUUUUGGAAUUCAACUCCAUCAUUAGCUUUUGUAAUUCAUUUAAAUGGGGGUACAUUUUUAAGCCGGGAUUUUGUGAUUUCAGAUUCAUAUAUCAAACCUAGAGAUAUACACAUACGGGUAUGUUCAAACUUUAUAAUCAUCCACUUUAUUCAUACACAUACACAUUUUUUCUUUUGUCAUCAUAUUUAGGAUAAACACAUUUGGAAUUUCAUUUGAAUUGGACCGUAUGAUGGUAUUUGCUUGUAGCUCAAUGAUCCAUAUUUGAAUUGACUAGACAAUCUAAUUUUCGAUUUGGAGACAUUGAUUUUCAAAACUUGCACUUUUUUGCGUGCAAAACAAACAAAUUCUCGGCCAUGAUAUCAUAGUCGGUCGUACAAGAGCAGAAUAUAAUUUCAGGCGCCAAAAGCUUUCAAACUUCCCGCUCACAUCGAAAUAUCUCGCGCCCGAAAGUUUAGCCCUGCGAUAUUCCUGUUUUACCCCUGCCACAUGAACGGAAAAGGGCUGCUUUCGUAACUCCAUUGUUUUCCCCUCUUUGCCCCCAACAUUCUUCCCCGGAGCCCCUCCCCUUCCCCUCCCCGACCCCCCCAACCACGGCAAGCCGCUGAAUCUAGUCCUCCGCCGCAGCGGUGGACCUCAAACCCCGACGGAUCUACCUUCCGCACCUUGGAACCCCCAACUGCCAACUCACCACUUCACCGGAGCCGCUUCAGCGACUGGCUUGUCCACCGCUCCAGAUCUCCUUGACCGCCAUCAUGGUCCACCGCACCGGAUCUGCUUAAACCGGCGGCCUUUUCCACCAUAGUGUAGGCCCUUCACUGACUCCCUCGUCCAUCCCUUCGCUGGCCCUUCAUACAAGCCCUCAUCUGCCGCAACAGAUCCGCCUCACCGAAAGCACUAUACAACGCGCCCGCCGAAGCCUUCGUCCACUUCACUUACUGCAGAUGAACUUUCUUGUAUGUUGACAGGCACCGCAACCGCAGCACCGGAGCCGCUUCAGCGAUGGCGACAGCCGGCCCAAACUCAACCGCAACACGUGCACCAUCGACGAUCCUUAGCUAUCAAGUAUGCCAACGAUACCCAUAUGCCGCUGAGAAUCAGGUACUAUUAUCCAACGGCCGGCGCCUACGCUCACUUUCUUAGCAUAAGCACUGCACCUUUGAAUUUCUUCAGGGCAUCAUUCAGUUUUUCAUGAGACGCGUUAUUCUUCUUGCACCUGUAGGGCCAUACUUCAGGCAGUGAAUAUGUUACAUGUGCUAAAUUACAUACCAGUGCAGAUAUAGUUAAUAUGCUUUAGUUUUGUCCUAAGUAUUACGGUACUUCCUAGAUAUCACUGCCUACUAUUUUACUUCUUGCAUGCUAUAUUUAUGAUAAUGGUGUUGUUCUGAUGCCACCUAUUGGUUCCAUCAGACUGCUUCAUGUUCUCUAUGCUUAAUUACACAUCAUCAAACUAGCAUGUGGUUCCACUGGUUUUUGUUCGUUUUGCCCUACAUUUUCUGAUGCUAGCUAUUACAUCACUGCUCCGAGCCUCUGUUCAUUACUUUUUGUGUGUUCUUGAUCUUCCCAAGUUGCAUGACUAAUUUGAUGCUUCUAUUAAUUAUGGAGCUGCCAACCCCAUCAAGCAAAAUAUUUGUUCUUUUAGGGCUGGCACCUCGAACAAGCAUAAAAAUAGAGGGAAGCAUAUAUAUUGUCGUGUAUGCACACACCCUUCUUUCAUUAGUUUAGAUGAACCAUUGAUGAUCAAUUCGAACCAGUGCAUGUGAUUAAAAUUAAUUUUACCUAAAUAAAGGGUGCAAAAUAAACUACAACAAGUAGAUUUGCAACCACGGGAUGCUGACGAUAUGUUCAAAGAACAUUGCAACAGCAGUGAGGCUUCACAGCAACAUAUGGUAAGCCAGUGUGUUUUAGUACAUGUGAAAUGUAAUGCGUGUGGGCUGCUUUCUUGGCUUGUGCCCUCAACCUGUAAUCCUACAAAAUAACAAAUAGUUCAGUUCUGUGCUUUGCUGUAUUGCUUGAUUCGAGUGCUUGUUUGUUACUUGUUAUGCUAUACCUGAGUUGGCCAAUAUGUCAGCAGUGCCUGCUGUACUAUCGUAAAGAAAUGCAUGCCUAGUUCAUAUGAGUCCUUAACUUUUCCUCUGAACUUCAUCACAAGACUGUCUUCGUAGUUUAUAUGAGGCCACACUUUUAAGUGCUUUCUCAGAUUAUUUCAACUGCUUAGAUGCCUUGGCAACUUAAAUAUAGCGGUGGUACACUCCCUUUCAACUAGGGAUGUCAACUGGGUCCCGUUUAAUCCCGAUUAAAGUCCACUAGUGGUAUGAUAGUUCAAAAGAGUUUUUGUUUUUUGAGGAAAAUGAACCGGGGAGCUAGCAAAAACUAACUAGAUGGGACUGGCAGAUGUCGUUUAUUUGCCACUUACAUCCCUAGUUCCAUCUUACCAUUUUAAUUUAUUUUCGGCUGAUGUUGCUUCGAACCAUUUAAAUAUAGCUUGCCAUGCUCGGCAAUAAAUCGUACGUCAUUUACCAUGUAAGCUUACUGCCUGGAUCAUGCGAUAACUAUAUCUUACUUAUGUCCAGCGGAAACCUUUCAGGAUGUCGUUCACACUAGGACACAAUGUACAACCCCAGAAUCUAUUUCUAGAAGUAGUGCGCCAUCCAUGUUAGCAGAUGGUAGUAGUUCAGAGGCAACACCAUCGGAGAGCAAUCUGAGCACAUAUAUUAUAGUUCUUGAGGCUCUACUAGAGGCAGAAAGAGAUGGUGUGGCUGCCAUGAAUGAGGUAAUCUCGAUCUUGAAGCUGGAAAUUAUGCAAUUAGCUGCACGCAUUAUGCAAGCAACCCAAGAAUUGGAGGAAUUAAGAAUGUUGCAUUUGAAGACGGAGGAGGUCCUGCUGCUUCUACUAUCUGAAGCCCAGGGUAAUCCUAGUUCUACUUUAGAUAGCUGUUGAAAUUGUCAUUUGAUUAUUGUAAUGUGUUGUAAUGAUCCGAUUUUUUUGGCGAGGUAAUCCUCAGUACUUGUAUGAUUGACAUAAGGUGAACUGUUUUCCGUGUGAGCAUAUUGUAUUGGAUGAAAUAACUAUUUGACUCAAAGUGUAUCCAACCUACUGAAUUCGAAGAUCACGACAUUUCUAAAUCAUAAUCAUAUAUAAAGGUGGAAUAAAUCUUUGUUUUGGUUUUGAAGAAAUCAAUAAUAAAAUGUAGAAUUAUUUGUGGAUAUUCGUAAUUGAAUAAAAAUUGAAUUUGGAUUUAGUUGCCAGGGCCCAGGGCAAACGUGAAUGCUAAUUCUCCCAAGUUUUGAACGAAGCGGCUAAACACCCACUAUCAUUUGUGGGCUGCCCAAAGCAAGUGUUGGCGAGAUGGAAAUUACUGUCUACCCCUGACACUUAACAUCCUUAUCGACCGGAUUUACACUGCUGUCGAUAGGGGUAGACUAGUAACUUCAAUUAGACGUGACACGAUGGCCUCUGAGCCCAUUCAGACACGGUGGGCGCCAAACGUGGGCAGCAAAACACAUUUGAUUCAAGAUCGUCCGAAAGACAUGUGUCUCUCCCUCCAUUUCCCCAUUCAUCCAUGGUGGGCGGCAAGACAAACUCUCCUUGUCUGAAAUCAAUGUAGCCUAAUAUUUUAAAUAGGGGCAGGUGUGUAACUUCCCUCAGACGUGAUAAAACCGCCCUACCUAUCAGCCCUGUUCAUACACCGUGGGUGCCAACCGUGAGCGGCAAAACAGCUUCUCCUCGCCCGAAAUCAUUACCGACAAAUAUCUGGGAGAUGCGAGAUUACCGUCCUAUCCCCAAGCAACGUGACGUCCAAAAUUUUAAACGGGGGAUAAGUUCGUAACUUCCCCACAUUUCAGACAAGCGCGCCCCAAAGUUUGAGAUUCCCCUCCCCCUCCAUUUCCCCAUUCAUACACCGUCGGUGCCACGACAACCUCCCCACUGCGGCCAGCCUCCUCCGUCCGCCAGCCCAUCCUCCACCUUACCGGAGCCUCUACCCCUACCCCGUCGUCCACUGCAAGAGAUGGACGUCUCUCAUCCAUGGUGCUGGACCAGGAUCCUUGCGUUGCGUCGUAUCGCUUCAUCGGUGCCGUCGUCCACCUUGUCGUUGCCGCUCUUAUGACCACCUCGUCCACGGCAAUAGGAUUUAUCCCCCGACCCGGCCGUCUGCCACCUAAAGUCUUCUUCCCUGCUGCCGACAGCCAUUGCACCUGCAGCACCCUCAACGUAUCAGCAGGGGCCUACAUGGCGUCGCAAGAGAGGUGGUACUCUUCCAUAUGUGCUUAAGUUAUUGAUCUCACCCGGAAAAUAGAUCUUAAAUUGUUUACUGUACUUUUCUUUUCCGUACCAAAUCAUAGUGGCUAGUUGAAUGCAAACAUUGGUUGCGAAGUAGCUUUGUCCGGUUUCGACCUUCAGAUCCGCCAUGUCACAGUCACUAUACUCGUAAAGCUCAUGGUUUCCCCCCUUUAUAUUCACUACCAUCAUCGUAGGUGCUUCACUGCUUCGUGUUGUGCUAGCACUGCUCCUCAAGACCUAAACCCAUCAAGCGAAACAACAUGCCACUCAUAAUUCCAAAGCUUACGUGUUGAAAUAUGAAUCUGAUAUGAUGCUCAUAUUACUAAAACAGAGAAUGUUUAAUUGGUCACCUAAUGUUCCUAUAUUCGUUUCGAAAAGCAUGUGUGCCACCCAUUGGUCCAGCUAGUUCCACUUUCCUGAUUUUACUCUUGAUGCUUUGGGUUUUCCCCUUUUAUCUACUCUACUAUGAUGUGUGUAGGUGCUUUCUUUCAUACUAGCAUUACUCCACCCUUCAAGCUAAACAACACAACACUCAAAAUUCCAAAGCUUAGUUGUUCAAAUAUGAUUGUGAUAUGAUAUUGAUAUUAGUUAAUAGACACAUUUAAUUGGUUAGCUAAAGGUCCCACUUGAGUUUCCAAAUACAUGUCGCGACAUAUAGAGAUACAACAGAAUUGCAUUUUCUUUGUCACUUGUUGACUGUACUUUCUUAUCCAUAUAAAAUCUUAGUUAUUAUUUCAAAGCAAACAUCGGUUGCUAACUACCCUUUGCACGGUUUGCAGCUUCAGAUCUGCCAUCCCACUGCCACGGUCAACACUAUACUCAUCAUGCUUACGGAUUCCCUAUUUUAUGAUGACCACGAUCAGCCUACGUGGUUCGUGUCGUAAUAGCACUGCUCCACCCAUCGAGCUAAACAAGCUUAGUUGUACAAAUUGAAAUCUGAUAUUAUGCUGAUAUUAGUAAAACUGAGAGAUGUUUAAUUGGUCAGCUAAAUGUUCCUACUUUAGUUUCGAAAUGCAUGUGAGCCACAUAUGGAGAGACCGGAAGGAAUAGUAUUUCUCUAUGUGCUCUGGUUCACCAUGGGUGGCCAAGCGACAUUGUGUAGAAAGACUUGUAAUAUCUUCAAUCCACUUGCUCUUUUGCUCUUCUUUAAGAUGAUCCUCUUCUCUUGCGGUUGACUGGUCAGGUCAAGUUAUUCUCCCUUAGUAUAUUUUGAAUCUAUCAGGUCAGGUCGACUUGUUCUUCUUUACUAUAUGUUGAAGUUGUCAUCUGCGAAGUAUCAUCACUUCUGGAGCUCUCAUAUUUUGAGUAGUAGGCUGAGGGAAUCCUGGAUUAGGGGGUCUCCGGACAGCCGGACUAUAUCCUUUGGCCGGACUGUUGGACUAUGAAGAUACAAGAUUGAAGACUUUGUCCCGUGUCCGGAUGGGACUCUCCUUAGCGUGGAAGGCAAGCUUGGCAAUACGGAUAUGUAGAUCUCCUUCCUUGUAACCGACUCUGUGUAACCCUAGCCCCCUCCAGUGUCUAUAUAAACCGGAGGGUUUAGUCCGUAGGACAACAACAAUCAUACCAUAGGCUAGCUUCUAGGGUUUAGCCUCUACGAUCUCGUGGUAGAUCAACUCUUGUAAUACUCAUAUCAUCAAGAUCAUUCAAGCACGAAGUAGGGUAUUACCUCCAUCGAGAGGGCCCAAACCUAGGUAAACAUCGUGUCCCCCGCCUCCUGUUACCAUUCGCCUUAGACGCACAGUCCGGGACCCCCUACUCGGGAUCCACCGGUUUUGACACCGACAUCGGUGCUUUCAUUGAGAGUUCCACUGUGUCGUCAUCAUAAGGAGGGAUGGCUCGUCUCGUUGUCAAGAACAACAUCACCUCUGGGGGAGCCCUGGCUGUAGGCCAAACUCUCCGACUAGGCGGCUUCGUCAUGACCGCCCGCUCGGCCAUUGCACCGACAAUGACUUCUCGGGUCAUCGAAAAUAGCCUCCACAUCGGCUCGAAAUUCACCGAGCAGAUGGAUCCAAUGGAGCUCUCCUCAUUGAACAAGCUCUUGGAUGGCAUCGCCGCUCUGGGAGUCACUACGGACUAUGAUCGGAUUGGGCUUAAACCCGACCAAAGGGAGAUUAACUCCCCGUCAGUCACCCUUCAGAUAGCGGUGGUGGAGGAGCAAUGCGGCGAUUCUUCCUCUAUCAUGAGGACGAACUAUGUCUGGAUUCCCGAGCUCUCCGAGCCGGAUACCCGUCCACGGGAGGACAUCGCCCUAACCCUGAACCUAGAAUCAGCCAGCAUGCCGAACCUGUGGGGCAACAUCCCGGAGCCCAAACUUCUAAGAUCGGAAACUCCCCCGCCCCUGGGUCUCAGAUUGGGUCAAGGUCUGGACUUAAAUCCACCCACCCACCCAGAUAUAAACGAUCUUUCCCACAUUAGGCAAGAGCCCCAAGAGACAGUACAUCACUAUUGGGCCAGAUUCCUCCUUGUAAUGAACAAGGUCAAGGACUGUCGCGACACUGUUCUUUUGAAACAAUUGCACAGACAUGGAAAUCCUCAACGGCAUAAGUCAUCGUGACAUAGCACACUUCGCUAACUUGGCGGCCAUAGUACGGAAGUACUGUGCGAUGGAAAGCGCCUGGAAAACCCAAACAAAAUGUUGGGAUAAUCCGGCUCUGACAAAACCCCCAGUCCGAACUAAAAGGGUGCACUCUCAUAAGUCGCCCGACUCAAUUACAAAGAAGCAAAAGCCCACUAUAGGGCGUGGAACCGUAUUGGAGGGAUGGCUUAACGGGCCCUGCAAAAUUCAUAGUACAGCGGAUACCAUACCAACACACAGCCUUAGAGCAUGUUCGGUACUCCGGCAGGUGUCCAAGAGCGGUGAGGAUCUCCUCAUUCAAAACACCGCAGAGCACCAUCCCGGGGAUAACAAUACAGUAUUGACAGUCUUCGAGACCUUCGCCUCAAAUAAUAGGCGUAAGCGAGCACUCCGCGGCCUUGCCGAAGUCUGCCAUGUGGCAGCAAUAAAUCCAAGGAGCGACACGGCUAUCACCUUCAAUGCCAGUGACGAACCUAAAUUCCGAACAGCCCGAGCGCCAGCUGCCUUGGUCCUCAGUCCAAUUGUGGACGGCUUUCGGCUUACUAAAGUGCUCAUGGACGGAGUCAGCGGACUAAACCUCGUUUAUGAGGAUACUCUUCAAAAAAUGGAAAUAGACAGAAACUGUAUUGAGCAAAGCAGCAUGACCUUCCAAGGAAUCAUCCCCAGUCGGGAGGCACAUUGCGCUGGGAAAAUCACACUUGAUGUGGUAUUCGGCACUCCGGAGAAUUACAAGUCUGAAGAAAUUACAUUCCAAGUGGCCCCGUUCAGUAGCGGAUACCACGCCCUUCUAGGGCGGGAGGCAUUCAUGAUCUUCCAAGUCAUACCCCAUUACGGGUACAUGAAGCUCAAAAUGCCCGGGCCCAAUGGAAUCAUCACUCUAGCUAGUGAUCCGGACAUAGCACUCCGCGCCGAAAACAAAACAGCCGCACUGGCCCUCGAGGAAUUAUCCGAAGCCCUUGCGGCGGAGAAUUAACUGCGCUGCGCUCCACAGUGGACAGGGACGACGUGAUACUCGACAAAAGAUCCAAGUCCACCUCUUUUAAACCAGCGGAUGAAAUAGUCAAAUUCCAAGUCCAUGGAACAGACCCCACAAAAACAACAUCCAUCGGGGCACAGUUAAACCCCGCUGUAGACACCGCACUACGGGAGUUCCUACGCGAGAAUUGGGACAUAUUCUCCUGGCAUCCUUCAGACAUGCCAGGAAUCCCACGCAGGCUGGCCAAGCAUAGCCUUAACCUUCUAAAUGGAUUCAAGCUGGUCAAGCAGACUCUUCGGUGUUUCUCUGAACCUAAGCGACAAGCCAUGGGAGAGGAGCUAGCCAAGUUACUGGAGGCCAGAUUCAUUAGAGAAAUAAAACAUCCGGACUGGCUAGCAAACCUGGUGAUGGUACCAAAGAAGGAAAAAUCCUGGCGCCUAUGUGUCGACUUCAAGGACCUUAAUAAGGCUUGCCCAAAGGAUCCCUUCCCCCUCCCUCGCAUCGAUCAAAUUAUCGACGCCACCGCAGGACACGACUCAUUGUGCUUCCUCGACGAAUACUCCGGUUACCACCAAAUUAAGAUUGCGGAGUCUGAUCAAGCCGCAACGGCAUUUAUCACUCCAUACGGCCCCUUCUGUUUUAACACAAUGCCCUUCGGGCUCAAAAACGCUGGCGCAACGUAUCAAAGCAUGAUUCAUACGUGUCUGGAAAAGCAGAUCGGCAAAAUAGUGGAGGCAUACGUAGACGAUGUGGUCGUUAAAACCAGACACGUCGACUCCUUAAUAGAUGACUUGAGGCUCAUGUUCGACAAUCUCCGAACAUACGACAUUAAGCUCAAUCCGGAAAAAUGCGUUUUCGGCGUGCCCGCCGAAAAGCUCCUGGGCUUCAUCGUCUCCAGUAGAGGAAUUGAAGCAAAUCCGGCUAAAAUCGAGCUCUGUCGCAGUUGGCUAUCCCAACUGACCUCAAGCAAAUCCAGAAGUUAACUGGAUGUGUGGCGGCCUUAAGCCGCUUUAUCUCCCGAUUAGGAGAAAAGGCACUCCCCCUUUAUUGCCUUCUUCGACGCACCGAACACUUCGAGUGGACGGACGCAGCCACGGCCAGAUUGGAAAAAAUAAAAGCCAUCCUGGCCACCAACCCAAUCUUGGACGCGCCAAAUGUCGGUGAACCAAUGUUGUUAUAUACAGCGGCAACUCACCGAGUUGUAAGCGCAGUGCUCGUCGUUGAACGAGAGACGGACGGACAUAAAUUCCCACUUCAAAAGCCGGUAUAUUAUGUAUCCACUGUCCUCACUCCAUGCAAAUCAUGGUACCCACAUUAUCAAAAUAUAGCAUACGCGGUAUUCAAGAGUGUUCAAUUACGGUGGCCUCAGAAGUACCACUCAACGACAUAAUAAACAACCGCGAUGCCACGGGCCGAAUUGCCAAAUGGGAUAUCGAUCUCCUCCCGUUCGACAUAACAUAUAGACCACGGCGAGCCAUUAAGUCGCAAGUACUGGCCGAUUUCAUCGCCGAGUGGACAGAAGCCAAGCUCCCUAAAGAGUACGGCACGCCAAUUGGAUCACGCACUUUGACGGCUCUAAAAUGUUGGCUGGUCUGGGGGCUGGCGUCGUCUUGACGUCCCCCACCAGAGAUACAGUCCAAUACGUACUCCAAAUACUAUACACAGACUCUAACAACGCAGCCGAAUACGAGGCCCUAUUACAUGGUCUUCGGAUGGCAGUUUCCACGGGCAUUCAAUGCCUGGAGGUGCGUGGGGACUGGAACCUCGCAAUAUCUCAAAUAAAUGGAGACUUCAAUGCCAAGGAUCCAAAAAUGGCGGCAUAUCGCAACGCCGUCCUCAAAAUGUCAGCUCGGUUCGAGGGGCUUGAAUUCCACCAUGUGGCUCGGGAAAACAAUCAGGCGGCGGAUAUCCUCGCCCGUAUCGGUGCUAAGCGCGACCCUAUCCCACCUAACAUCUUCUUGGAAAGGCUGUUUAAGCCAUCCAUGGUAUGGGAAGGGGACACCGGUAACAAUAGUCCGGACCCAGCCACAACACCAGAUACCGAACACUCUGACACAAUCGGAGGCUCUGCCAUCGAAACAACACCUUCAGCCCACGUGAUAAUGGUCAUCAUCGCCCCGUGGACAGAACCAUUCCUGGCCUACCUAACCAGGCAGGAACUACCCGAGGACCAAAAUGAGGCACGCUACAUAGUGCGGCGAUCUAAAGCCUACAAGGUCCACGAGGGAGAGCUUUAUAAGAAAAGCACUACCGGAGUCCUUUAAAGGUGCAUCUCCGAAGAGGAAGGGUGGAAGCUUUUGGCAGAAAUCCAUGCUGGAAUCGGCAGCCGCCACGCUGUAGCCCAGGGCCUUGUAAGCAAGGCCUUCUGUACAGGUUUCUAUUGGCCGACGGCCCGAGCGGAUGCACAGGGUCUGGUCCAACGUUGCAUUGGUUGACAGCUUUUUGCAAACCAAAGCCAUAUGCCGCCUACCGCUCUUCAAACAAUCCCCAUUACUUGGCCCUUUGCGGUCUGGGGGCUUGAUAUGGUCGGACCCCUCAAAGGGGGAACCCAUAAGAAAAAAUACUUACUGGUCAUGGUGGAUAAAUUCACCAAAUGGAUAGAAGCCAAACCCGUUAAAACGGCUGAAUCCGGACCGGUGAUAGACUUCAUAUCUGGGGUUGUACACCAUUAUGGCAUCCCCCACAGCAUCAUCACUGACAACAGCACGAACUUUGCAGCCGACGAGGUAAAACUUUGGUGCAGCAACAUGGGCAUCAAGCUCGAUUAUGCUUCUGUCUAUCACCCACAAACUAACGGUCAAGUCGAGCGAGCAAAUGGUCUUAUCACGAGCAGCAUCAAACCCAGAUUAGUGCGGUCCUUAAAGGAAUCAAACACGCACUGGGUAGAGGAGCUCGACUCCGUGCUAUGGGGGCUGCGGACCACGCCGAAUCGCACUACCGGAUACACACCGUUUUUUAUGGUGUACAGCGCAGAGGCGGCUCUGCCUUGCGACAUAAUUCAUGACUCACCUCGAGUGCGCAUGUACGAAGAAAAAGAGGCCGAGCUUGAUCGGUAGGACAGUUUGGACGCCCUAUUCUAUCAGCAACAGGCUCGAAGGUAUCAAAGCAGAGAAGUACGAGCCAAAACCUAUAACGUUGGCGAACUAGUUCUACGACUGCCGGAGAAGAAAAAUAACAAGCUCAAGCCCAAAUGGGAAGGUCCCUUCAUUAUUGACCAGGUUCUGACCGGUGGAACGUACCGUCUGCGGGAUGCAUCGGAUAAUCGACUCGAGCCAAACCCAUGGAACGCAGCCAAACUCCGAUGAUUCUACGCCUAGUGCCAGACUCUAUGUUCAUCUCCUUAACCCCAUCAAUUUUUUGGAUAUCUGUUAUCUAUCUUUUCUCUCUUUCUCUCUUCUUUUUUCUUCUCCUCAAAGCCUUAAAAGGCUAACUUGUGUCUUGACUACACAAUCUUGAUGUGCUAACCGCGCUCAUUAUACCCGGGGGCUUCUUAUACAGAAUCUUAAUAUAACUAUUUUUCUGGGCUUUACACCCCACACAUGUGUUAUUCUUCCACAUGUACCUUUUUUCCCCAUUAUAUGCAUCGAUAUGACUUAAGUUUUGGCCAAGCUGGGUUCGCUGGCUCUUGUAUUUAUGCCCUAUGUUCCCAUUAAUUCGGCUAGGGCAUAAGGGGAGCACCUCUACGAUUGUUACUGCCGGGUCAGCCGGAUGUGUACCUCAGACUGGGUGAAGCCGAAAGCUAGCGUUCUUAAGGGAAUAUUCGGUCGGUGAACAAAAGUUGACUUUUAUUUAUUUUGAUACAUGCCCCCCAGAUGUUUAUAGCCUGCGUCUCUUUUCGCAGUUCGGACAUGCACAUUAGGGCAUGCGUACCCAGGGAAAGGAACCCUUAACGGAACUAUUCUCCCUGGAAGAUGUUUCUUACUAUCCAUGUAAUAUAACGUAGCUAGUUGGGUACUUGUCUGUUCAAGCACUUAUGAACCCUACGCCUGGUUUCCAUGCAUACCCCGGUUUUUACAUAACCGAGCAGGUAUUUGGAUACACUCCGGACUAUCGGAAUUCGUCUAGGGACAUUAUAUAUGUCACUUAAAGUACACAGUCACUAAGACUGACUAAAUUCUUCUUCUAUACCAUCCAACAGGCUGUCUAGCCUACAAUCCUGUUGGGAAUACUUUGCGGCUAAUUCUACUUGGUCAUACACCAAACUGACGGGGAUCUCUUUCCCAUCGGGCCCCACAGGUCCGACCUCGGCCAUGUGGUUUGGGUCAGCUUUGGUAUAUCGCGUCUUCACCAUGGCCCAGGCUUCCCUUGCACCUUGUCGGCAGGCUGAUAUCUUCCAUAAUCGGAAGCGCCGCCACGCUCCCUUGAGCUUUUCUAUAAGCUCCCCCAUGCCUCCUGGCGGGGAGGCGGAUGGCCACAAGGCUUGGGCAAUACCCUGCAUCACCUGCUGAACUUGUUCGUGCAGUUGUGAGAGCUCUGGUAGAAGAUCACCCGUAGACCCGGGCAUCUCCUCCGCGGGAUGACCCGUCAGCAUACCUGCAGACAUAACUCUGUUAGCCGGCUUCUUCGCCGAACUUUUUCAAAAGUUCGUUCAAGCACUUACUGAAAAUGCUGCGUCGAAGCCGCUUAUUCUCCUUCACGGAGUCCGCAAGCUGGGCUGGGACAUCUUUUUGUUCCACGCCCAGCUGGAUAUUAGCAUCCUGGAGAUCAUUUCUCUCCUGCUUGACCCGCAUAAGCACGCGCUCGCCAGCAUUUAGCUGUCGAUUAGCAUGUUGCGCAUUCCCCGGCACGGCCUCCGGAUUCACUCCGGAGUCAUCUGCAACAUCUAUUGUUAGAUUUGCAUGCAUGCCGCAUACUAUCUGGUACCUGUCAUUCUUUGCAAUGGAAACAAGUGUUACCAGAGGGGGCCUUCUCGGACUCCUUUAACGCGGCAACCGCGGCCCGUAGCUGGGCUUUGCACUCUUCCAGCUCUUGAGACAAUUGGGUAUUCUUCUCCGUAAGAACCUGCACAAAUAAUGAUCCUUAAACCAGUUGUGUCAACUGUUUCAAGUCUCAGGGGCUACUGAUAUAUAUAAUCAUCAGACUUUCUUACCCGUAUAUCCUUUACAUACUGGUCCGUGGCUCUGGCAAGACCAUUUUGAGCAGCACGGAUGUACGCGUCUCCUAAGUUGAAGGCAUCGAACGCCUCUUGGGAGAAACAAGCGUCACGGAGUACGGCCCGGCGACGCCUGUGAUUCAUGGCGCUCUCCACUUCGGAAUUUGUAGCGGAUAGUCUAUCCACAUCCUCUGUAGGAGGAGCAUCCGGCGUUCGCCCCGUGUUAGCUUCCGCCUCUAUGUCCGGCCCUGGAGCCCGACUGGUGGAGGCAUGAUCGGCAACCUCUCCGGAUAUAGUCCGGCGAGCGUUUUUCCUACUAGGAAACAUGGACGUCAUUAUAUUUUAAGAAAGACAACAACCACGGAGGGAGGUUUGGUACCUCUACGCCGCGUCUCAGUCCUGACCGCCUUCCUUUUUAGCCUACCCGGCUUUGGUGUCCCUUGUUGGCGAGUCACUGCGGGUUCGGCAUGGCGUCCUGAGGGCCUUCCCUGUAAGACACCAUAUGUGUACGGUAGGUGAAGUGCGUAAAAGGGGAUCCUUCUCGGAAGUUGGGACUCCGGUUUUUCUUACAUGCGAUGCAGGGAGUAGCCUAGCAUAGUCGGCUAUGAUGGCCACCAUGGCAUCAUCGUAGCUCAAUUGAUAGAAUGUCCUGUCGAUCAGCUCCACGAAUAUGUCCGGAUCCUCUUCGAGUCCGGGGUCGAGGGUGUAACACCCCGGAUGUAACUUUCCCAAUUUGUACUCCAACUCUUGCAGUUUCCGGCGUUAAGUUAUUUUAUUUCCUCGGGUUCGGGUCUUUGUCUCCGUGUGUUGUUAUCGUUGUCAUGCAUCUCAUAUCAUGUCAUCAUGUGCAUUGCAUUUGCAUACGUAUUCGUCUCAUGCAUUCGAGCAUUUUCUCCAUCGUCCGUUUUGCAUUCCGGCGCUUCGUUCUCCUCCGGUGGUCAUUUCUAGCUUUCUUUCGUGUGUGGGGAUUAAACAUUUCCGGAUUGGACCGAGACUUGCCAAGCGGCCUUGGUUUACUACCGGUAGACCGCCUGUCAAGUUUCGUAUCAUUUGGACUUCGUUUGAUACUCCAACGGUUAACCGAGGGACCGAAAAGGCCUCGUGUGUGUUGUAGCCCAACACCCCUAUAAUUUGGCCCAAAACCCACCUAACUCUGCUCCAUGUUCUAGAGUGUUCGAUCAUGAUCGUGUGGCCGAAAACCGCACCUCAUUUGGACUCUCCUAGCUCCCUCUAUGCCUAUAAAUAGGUCCUCCUCGAAAAUCUCGGAUCCCCCUCCCCGAAACCCUAAAAAUCAUCUCUCUCCGUGCCGGACGUGUCCGUCCGCCGCCGGACAUGCCGCGCCGCCACCCGCGGCCACUUGCAGAGGACCACAUGGCGCGCCGCCACCUCCUCCCGCCGAAGCCCGCUUGGCCCGGGGCCAGCCCCCGCGGCCCGUAGCCGCCCGCCGCCUUGCGCCGCGCCCCGCGCCGCCGCCUCGCCCAGCUGCCGCCACCGCCUCGCGCCGCGCCCCAUGCCGCGCCGCCACCGACUUUGUGUUGAUUACCGUCUAGUGAACAAGAAGACCAUCAAGAACAAAUACCCACUUCCCAACAUCAAUGAGCUGUUCGAACAACUCAAAGGUGCCCAAGUAUUCUCCAAGCUUGAUCUCCGUAUGGGUUAUCAUCAGAUUCGAAUCUGUGAGCAAGAUAUUCCCAAGACGGCUUUUAGGACAAGCUUUGGUUCAUAUGAAUACACUGUCAUGUCUUUUGGUCUCGUCAACGCUCCUCCGACAUUCUCUCGCAUGAUGAACUUCAUCUUCAACGCCUAUACCAAUGACUUCAUUUUGGUCUAUCUCGACGACAUUCUGGUUUUCUCGAAGAACAAGGAAGAUCAUGCCAAGCACUUGCGUUUGGUUCUUGAUAAGCUCAGAGAACACAAGUUCUACGCCAAGUUCUCCAAAUGUGAAUUUUGGCUCGAUGAGGUUCUUUAUCUUGGUCAUAUCAUCUCUGCCAAGGGCAUUGCCGUGAAUCCUGAGAAGGUGUUCCAGAAGCUCACCCGCUUUGCCAAGCAGGACGGCCCUGAUGAGAAGAGCAUGAUAUACCAGUUCAGGAGUGGUCUCAGAGAAGAAAUUCAGCUAGCUCUUGUCCUCUUUGAGCCCUUGAGAUACGAUGAGUUCUACAUCAUGGCACUGAAGCAAGAGGCUGCUCAGUUGAGGUGUGAUGCUUCCAAGAAGCAUGCCAGAGAUGUUACUCCUUCUUACUCUACUCAAGUGGCCAAGCAGCAGAAGUAUUGGCUUCCUCCUCCUCCGUUUCGUUAGCCGUAUCAGAAGAAGAGUAAAGGUGGCAGUGGUUCUUCCCACCCACCCAACCCUGGCUUUCAGAACAAGACUUCGUCUCAAGCUCCAAGAUCGAGUGCUCCGUAUCACCGUCCGCUUUCAGAGGUCACGUGCAACAAGUGCCAACAGAAGGGUCACUAUGCCAACAAGUGUUUCAACCAGAGGCGUCUUCCUCCUCCUCCUCCUGUGAGAUCGGCAAGUACAGCUGUGGUCAAGCAUAACCCCAAGCACGCCAAGGUUAACUUGAUGAAUGCAGCUCAGGCAGAGGACUCGUCAGAUGUGAUCAUGGGUAACCUUCCUGUUAACGAUGUUCCUGCAAAAGUUCUUUUUGACACUGGUGCAUCGCAUUCCUUUUUGUCAUGUCCUUUUGCAUCGAAGCACAAUGUUGAUACCGAGAUCAUGCCCAAAGUCAUGCAAGUUGUUUCUCCCGGCAAGCUUUUGACUUCUAGUUUGGUUGCUCCCGAUAUCUCUAUCACGUUGGGUGACUACAAGUUUCUCUCUUCUCCGGUGGUUCUUGGUAACUCGGAUAUUGAUCUUAUUCUCGGAAUGGUUUGGCUUUCUAAGCACAAGGCUCAGCUUGAUUGUGCAUCCAGGCAGAUUCAAUUGACUCAUUCGUCUGAGGAUGUAAUUGUCUUUGCCGCUCGGGAUAAUACCAUCCGUCUGUUUUCUCUCAACGAGAAGGGUGAAUUGGAUGCCAUCUCACAAAUUCCAGUCAUUUGCGAAUAUCAAGACGUCUUUCCAGAAGAGCUUCCAGGAAUGCCUCCGCACUGGCCAGUCGAAUUCGUUAUUGAUCUUGAGCCUGGCACGGAACCUGUGUGCAAACGUCCUUACAAGCUCAGACCUGAAGAGUUGAAGGAGCUGAAGAAGCAACUCGAUAUUCAAGAGAAAAUGGGUCUCAUCCGGCCUAGUUCUUCUCCGUGGGGUUGUGGUGUUCUUUUUGUGAAGAAGAAGGAUGGAACGGACCAACUUUGUGUUGAUUACCGUCCAGUGAACAAGAAGACCAUCAAGAACAAAUACCCACUUCCCAACAUCAAUGAGCUGUUCGAACAACUCAAAGGUGCCCAAGUAUUCUCCAAGCUUGAUCUCCGUAUGGGUUAUCAUCAGAUUCGAAUCCGUGAGCAAGAUAUUCCCAAGACGGCUUUCAGGACAAGCUUUGGUUCAUAUGAAUACACUGUCAUGUCUUUUGGUCUCGUCAACGCUCCUCCGACGUUCUCUCGCAUGAUGAACUUCAUCUUCAACACCUAUACCAAUGACUUCGUUUUGGUCUAUCUCGACGACAUUCUGGUUUUCUCGAAGAACAAGGAAGAUCAUGCCAAGCACUUGCGUUUGGUUCUUGGUAAGCUCAGAGAACACAAGUUCUACGCCAAGUUCUCCAAAUGUGAAUUUUGGCUCGAUGAGGUUCUUUAUCUUGGUCAUAUCAUCUCUGCCAAGGGCAUUGCCGUGAAUCCUGAGAAGGUGUCUGCAAUUGUGAAUUGGGAACCUCCUCAGAACGUGAAGCAACUCCGUAGCUUCCUCGGUCUCGCAAGCUAUUGCCGAAGAUUCGUUGAAAACUUUUCUAAGAUCGCGAAGCCUCUCUCUAAUCUUCUUCAGAAGCACGUCAAGUACGUUUGGUCUCCGGAGUGUGAUAUUGCUUUCAACACUUUGAAAGAGAAAUUGAUCACUGCUCCAGUUCUGACUCCGCCUGAUGAAUCCAAACCAUACGAGGUCUUUUGUGAUGCCUCUCUCCAAGGUCUUGGCGCAGUAUUGAUGCAAGAGAAGAAAGUUGUUUCUUAUACAUCUCGCCAGUUGAAGCCUAAUGAGAAGAACUACCCCACUCAUGAUCUCGAGUUGGCGGCAGUUGUGCAUGCUCUUUUGACUUGGAGACAUCUUCUAUUGGGAAGAAAAGUGGACAUUUUCACUGAUCACAAGAGUCUCAAGUACAUCUUCACUCAGCCUAAUCUCAACCUCAGGCAAACUCGAUGGGUCGAAAUGAUUCAAGAGUAUAAUCCGAGUAUCGAGUAUACUCCAGGCAAGGCCAAUGUGAUUGCUGACGCUUUGAGCAGAAAGGCCUACUGCAACAGUCUGAUUCUCAAGCCUUAUCAACCCGACCUUUGUGAAGCUUUCCGCAAACUUAACCUGCAAGUUGUUCCUCAAGGUUUCCUUGCCAACCUUCUAGUCUCUCCUACCUUAGAAGACCAGAUUCGCCAAGCCCAGCUUCUUGAUGCUAUGGUGAAAAAGGUGAAGAUUGGGAUUGCCAAGAGUCAGUCCAAGUACAAGUGCUACCGCCUUGAUGACAAGGACACUCUCUUCUUCGAGGAUCGUAUUGUUGUACCCAAAGGUGACCUUCGUAAAGUGAUCAUGAACGAGGCUCACAAUUCUCUCCUCUCCAUCCACCCUGGGAGCACGAAGAUGUAUCAGGACCUUAAGCAAGCUUAUUGGUGGACUCGAAUGAAGCGCGAGAUCGCUCAAUUUGUGAAUGAAUGUGAUGUAUGUAGAAGAGUGAAGGCAGAACACCAAAGGCCAGCAGGUCUCCUCCAACCUCUUGCCAUUCCAGAAUGGAAGUUUGACCACAUUGAAAUGGAUUUCGUGACUGGGUUUCCAAAGUCCAAGCAUGGCAAUGAUGCUAUAUUCGUUGUCAUCGAUAAACUCACCAAAGUGGCUCACUUUCUGCCUAUCAAAGAGUCGAUCGCUGCAGCUCAAUUGGCGAAACUCUAUACCUCUCGAAUUGUCUCUCUACACGGUAUUCCACAAGUGAUCUCUUCAGACCGUGGCAGCAUCUUUACCUUGAAGUUUUGGAAUUCUUUUCAGAAGGCCAUGGGCACCAACAUCCGCUUUAGCACAGCUUUCCAUCCUCAAACUAGCGGUCAAGUCGAGCGUGUCAACCAGAUUCUUGAAGAUAUGCUCAGGGCUUGUGUGAUCUCCUUCGGCAUGAAGUGGGAGGAUUGUCUUCCUUAUGCUGAAUUCUCCUACAACAACAGUUUUCAAGCAAGUUCGGGCAAGGCCCCAUUUGAAAUUCUGUAUGGCAGGAAGUGUCGUACCCCUCUCAACUGGUUGGAAACCGGUGAACGUUAGCUUUUGGGUAAUGACUUAAUCACAGAGGCAAAAGAAAUGUGCAAAGUCAUUCGUGAUAACCUCAAAGCAGCCCAAUCCCGUCAGAAGAGCUACUAUGAUAGUAAGCACCGUGAUUUAGCUUUCGAGAUCGGAGAUCAUGUGUACCUCCGUGUCUCUCCUAUGAAAGGUACUUGUCGCUUUGGUAUCAAAGGGAAGCUUGCCCCUAGAUACGUGGGACCUUUCAAGAUUGUCAGCAAGAGAGGCGACCUCGCCUAUCAACUCGAGCUUCCUUCAAACUUUGCAAAUGUUCAUGAUGUGUUUCAUGUCUCUCAGCUUCGAAAGUGCUUUAAGACUCCUGACUGCACCGUCAACUUCGAGGACAUUGAGCUCCAAGAAGAUCUCUCUUAUCGUGAGCACCCAAUUGCUAUUCUUGAAGAGACUGAACGCAAGACUCGCAACAAGUCAAUCAAAUUUCUCAAAGUCGAGUGGUCACACCAUUCCGACCGUGAAGCUACCUGGGAACGCGAGGAUCACCUCUUUUCUGAGUACCCGGUGUUCUUUCAGUCCUAGAUCUCGGGACGAGAUCCUUUCGUAGUGGUGGAGUGUUGUAACACCCCGGAUGUAACUUUCCCAAUUUGUACUCCAACUCUUGCCGUUUCCGGCGUUAAGUUAUUUUAUUUCCUCGGGUUCGGGUCUUUGUCUCCGUGUGUUGUUAUCGUUGUCAUGCAUCUCAUAUCACGUCAUCAUGUGCAUUGCAUUUGCAUACGUGUUUGUCUCAUGCAUUCGAGCAUUUUCUCCGUUGUCCGUUUUGCAUUCCGGCGCUUCGUUCUCCUCCGGUGGUCAUUUCUAGGUUUCUUUCGUGUGUGGGGAUUAAACAUUUCCGGAUUGGACCGAGACUUGCCAAGCGGCCUUGGUUUACUAUCGGUAGACCGCAUGUCAAGUUUCGUAUCAUUUGGACUUCGUUUGAUACUCCAACGGUUAACCUAGGGACCGAAAAGGCCUCGUGUGUGUUGUAGCCCAACACCCCUUCAAUUUGGCCCAAAACCCACCUAACUCUGCUCCAUGUUCUAGAGUGUUCGAUCACGAUCGCGUGGCCAAAAACCGCACCUCAUUUGGACUCUCCUAGCUCCCUCUAUGCCAAUAAAUAGGUCCUCCUCGAAAAUCUCGGAUCGCCCUCCCCGAAACCCUAAAAAUCAUCUCUCUCCGCGCCAGACGUGUCCGUCCGCCGCCGGACAUGCCGCGCCGCCACCCGCGGCCACUUGCAGAGCGCCACGUGGCGCGCCGCCACCUCCUCCCGCUGAAGCCCGCUCGGCCCGNNNNNNNNNNNNNNNNNNNNNNNNNNNNNNNNNNNNNNNNNNNNNNNNNNNNNNNNNNNNNNNNNNNNNNNNNNNNNNNNNNNNNNNNNNNNNNNNNNNNNNNNNNNNNNNNNNNNNNNNNNNNNNNNNNNNNNNNNNNNNNNNNNNNNNNNNNNNNNNNNNNNNNNNNNNNNNNNNNNNNNNNNNNNNNNNNNNNNNNNNNNNNNNNNNNNNNNNNNNNNNNNNNNNNNNNNNNNNNNNNNNNNNNNNNNNNNNNNNNNNNNNNNNNNNNNNNNNNNNNNNNNNNNNNNNNNNNNNNNNNNNNNNNNNNNNNNNNNNNNNNNNNNNNNNNNNNNCCGCGCCGCCCUCUCCAUCGCCCGGAUCCGCCGCUGCCCGGCCUUCCCGGCCCUUCCCCUCGCCGGCUCGGCCACCAACGAGCUCGCCGGAGCUACAGUGCCCGCCGCCGCCUCGGUUCACGCGCCGGUCAAACCCUAGAUCUGAGGGUUGUUUUUUUUCUGUCCCUGAUAUUUUCAGUCCAAGUGCUCAUGUUCACGGCUCCGUAACUUUGCAUCCGUAGCUCCGAUUCAUGCAUAUAGCAUAUCAAAAUAUUCAUCUCAGAGAGUACAUCAUUUCAUUCCAUUGCAUCAUUUUCAGUUGAGUUCAUCUUGAUGCCCGAACUGCUGUUAGAAGAGGGCUACUUGAGUUAAUUUUCAGAUCUGCUACUCCAUUUAGGUUUUUGUCAUUUUUGCCAUGAUUAAUGUGUGCAUGAUAUGCCCUGAUGCUCUACAUAUGUUUUGUUAAGGGUUUUGUCAUCUUUCCAGAGGUGCAACCCAUGUAUUUUUGUGAUGUGUGUGGUGACUUGUGCAAGCUUGCAAAGUGGUGCACUUGCUAAUUCUGUUUUCAGGGACUUAGCAAAUCCACUAAGUCCUUGAUCUGUUUAUCUCGUGUUGUCAUAUGUUCAUGUUGUUUCCUAGUGAUCCGUGCCUCUUUUGAGGAUGAUCAGUAAGGAUGUUUUGUUAAUAUUGUAGUGCUCUAUACAUCCGUGUCUUUGUUUGCAAUUAUGGAACACCCUAGCUUGAGUCAAUCGAGCUCUACUUUUGCUACUUUGUGAAUCUGGGCAGAUUGUCAACUUGUUUGCAAUUUUGUCGGUGAUGUUGUAGUUGAUCCAUGCAUGCUAUGCUAUUGUUCUUGCCAUGUCUAGAUUGCAUUUUGUGCCUUAUUGAUGGUGUAUGCUUGUAUUGCCAUGACUUGCACCGUAGUGAGUGCGUCAAGGUCGUAAACAUGCCUACUUGAGUUAUAUUUUAGCAUGUGUCAGUUUUUCACUAAGUCUGAAAACUGAUUAUGUUUUUGCUAUGUUCACAUGCUUGCAAUUGUAUUUUCUGAUCCCUUUUGGCUCAAGGUCACUAAGGGACUUUUGUUAAGCUCUUUGAGUAGCUCCAUGCCAUGCUUUACUUUGCCAUGUUCAAGUCCUGUAACAUGUAGUUUUGUGGCUCCAAAGAGUGCUACCUGAUCUGAAAUUCCAGACAAGUGUUAAUUUCACUAAGUCUGAGAUCUGUUUGCCAUAUGCAUUUUUGCCAUGCUUGUUUGAACCUGUUAAUGGAGGAAUUGGCCGUAGCUCAGUGCUAGACUUUUGUUAAGAAUCUUGUGUGCAUCCCUGCCAUGUAUUUUGUUGUCUUGUUUGGGUGCUAUAGCAUGUUCAUCUCAUUGCAUUUAGAUGCCUACUUGCUGUAAAUCGCAGACCGGUGUCAUUUUUGAAUCGCUUGCCAUUUCCAAACCGUAACUUCGAUUCCAGCGUUCUUUAUAUCGUUUUCAAGCGAUUUCAUCUCAUCUUUCCAGUGGCACACUUGGAUUUCCAAGUUGAGGACAGGUUCUUGAAUUUCCUGUCAUAUCUUGCAUUUUGCAUCCCGCAUCGCAUUCCGCAUAGCAUAUCAUCAUUGCAUCAUAUUGCUUGGUCUUGCACGUGGUUGAUUGUAUCCUUGUUGCUUGUUUGUCUUGUUUGGGUAGAGACGGGAGACGAGUUCGCUAACAAGGAUCCCGUUGAGUUUGCUUUCGAGGAUCCAGUCAACUCUGACAACUGUGCAGGCAGGAUGAUCAUACCCUCGAAAUCACUACUAUCUUUGCUAUGCUAGUUUGCUCGCUCUUUUGCUAUGCCAUUGCUACGAUGCCUACCACUUGCUUUCAAGCUUCCCAAAUUGCCAUGUCAAACCUCUAACCCACCAUGUCCUAGCAAACCAUUGAUUGGCUAUGUUACCGCUUUGCUCAGCCCCUCUUAUAGCGUUGCUAGUUGCAGGUGAAGAUUGAAGGUCGUUCCUUGUUGGAACCUUUAUUUACUUGUUGGGAUAUCAUUAUAUUAUCUUGCUAUCUUAAUGCAUCUAUAUACUUGGUAAAGGGUGGAAGGCUCGGCCUCUCGCCUAGUGUUUUGUUCCACUCUUGCCGCCCUAGUUUCCGUCAUAUCGAUGUUAUGUUCCCGGAUUUUGCGUUCCUUACGCGGUUGGGUUAUAAUGGGAACGCCUUGAUAUUUCGCCUUGAUUAAAGCUUUUCCAGCAAUGCCCAACAUUGGUCUUACCAUUUUCCACCUAGCCUCUUUUUCCCUUGGGUUUCCGGAGCCCGAGGGUCAUCUUAUUUUAACCCCCCCCCCAGGCCAGUGCUCCUCUGAGUGUUGGUCCGACCGAGUAGACUGCGGGGCCACCUCGGGGCAACUUGAGGGUUGGUUUUACUCGUAGGAUGUCUCAUCUAAGUGUGCCCUGAGAACGAGAUAUGUGCAGCUCCUAUCGAGAUUUGUCGGCACAUUCGGGCGGUGUUGCUAGUCUUGUUUUAACCUGUCGAAGUGUCUUGAGUAACCGAGAUACCAAGUCUGAUCGAAACGUCUUGGGAGGAGGUCUAUUCCUUCAUUGACCGUGAGAGCUUGUCAUGGGCUAAGUUGGGACUCCCCUGCAGGGAUUGAACUUUCGAAAGCCGUGCCCGCGGUUAUGGGCAGAUGGGAAUUUGUUAAUGUCCGGUUGUAGAUAACUUGAACCUUAACUUAACUAAAAUGAAUCAACUGAGUGUGUUACCGUGAUGGCCUCUUCUCGGCGGAGUCUGGGGAGUGGACACGGUGUGGGGUAAUAUUUGCGCAGGUUGUCCUCUAGUUUCUCGCUCGUGCUUUGCCCCCUCUUCUUGCUCUCUUUUGCAAAUAAGUUAGCCACCAUAUAUGCUAGUCGCUUGCUGCAGCUCCACAUAUUUUUACCUUGCCUUACCUAUAAGCUUAAAUAGUCUUGAGCGCGAGGGUGCGAGAUUGCUGAGUCCCUGUGGCUCACAGAUUACUAUUACACCAGAUGCAGGGCCUGAUGAUUCCGCUCCAGGAGACGCGUAUGAGCUCAAGUGGGAGUUCGACGAAGACUCUCAACGUUACUAUGUUUCUUUUCCCGAUGAUCAGUAGUGGUGCCCAGUUGGGGGUGAUUAGGACCGUGUCGCAUGUUGGGUUAUCUUUUAUUUUGGUGCCGUAGUCGGGCCAUGAGUGUUUGGAUGAUGUAAUGUUAUUUAUGUACUUGAUUGACGUGGCGAGUGUAAGCCAACUAUGUUAUCUCCCCCUUAUGAUUUAUAUUACAUGGGAUGUUGUGAAGAUUGCCUAACUUGCGACAUAUGCCUUCAAUGCGAUUAUGCCUCUAAGUCGUGCCUCGACACGUGGGAGAUAUAGUCGCAUCGAGGGUGUUACAGAGGGCCCGGUCAGGGUCCUCCGAUUGUGGAGGUGGGCUGUUGACCUCCCUUAUAGCUUUUCGCAGUUCCUGCCAUGAAACAACAAGGUGAGUAUUUAUGACGAAGAAUGCGGGAAGGUUGGGAGUAAAAAGUGAUAGCUCACCCAGUUGGAGGGUUGUACAUGGAGAAUCCAUCCCAUGGCUUAAGACGGAUGAACUCCUCUUCCUCUCCCUUGAACAAAUCAGACAGAAUUUUUGCUAGAGCAGCAACUGAGUCCGGUCCCUUACGCCCGUAGCGGAUGGCAUCAUCUUCCCGUUAAAGUGCCACAUGGGGUGCCCUCGAUAUUGAAGUGGCUGCACCCCCCGCAUUAUACAUAUUGACAUAACCUCGAUUAUUGUCAGUCCUGAUUGAGGCAGCACUUUUAUCCGGCCCAUCAGGUAAAGGACUUCUCUGUUAUCUUCCUCUUGAGGGCUCUGUGGGCGCCAGCUUCGGCGUUUCUUCAAAGGGGCAUUAUCGAACUCGGGAAGACCCAUCCGAAUAGGAUCUGGAAGGGGGACAUCCUCCAUGUAAAACUACUCCGAAGGCCAGUCUUCGGACGUCUUCUUCGGGGUACCGGACAGGUAUCCGGUCCCGGUGAUGCGCCAUAUUUUGGCUCCGCCCACUUGAUAUAUUGACCCCUUCUGUGUACGUGGCACUAGGCAGAAUAGCCUCUUCCAUAGCUCGAAAUGAGCUUCGCAGCCCAGAAACAGCUCACAAAGGGUAACAUAACCAGCGAUGUGUAAUAUGGAAGUGGGGGUGAAAUUAUGCAACUGGAGGCCAUAAAACUCUAGGAUCCCACGGAGGAAUGGAUGGAUUGGAAAUCCAAGUCCCCUUAGUAAAUGAGGGACAAGGCAUACCCGCUCCCCCUUGGAGGGAUUGGGGAAGCUCUCCGCUUGCUCCCCGCCAUUAUAUGUGGCGAGCCCGGCUUGAACGGGGACCAUAUGCGCUGGAGGGAGAAAUCCCUGGGUCUGUAACUCUACUAAUUGGGUGUGUGGGACGGAACACUUCUCCCAAUCACCGGGCUUAGGGCUACGGGAGCGAGAGGAGGAGCUGCGAUGGCCGGCCAUGUUGGAAUGGAUUCUUCCGAGCGCGCUCCGAUGGAUACUGGCUGUGGGAGGAUGGUGUGGUCUGGAUCUAAGAAUCCUCGUCUCUUUAAUAGACAGUUUAUUUACAUGGCUAGGGUGGAAAAUGUGAAAAUGCCCUGGCUCCUCGCAUUCGCUCGACACGUGGAAGAUAGCCCUUACUGGGCGCGGAAGCCAAGAAGUGCAACAUUUAUGGGGAGCCGGACACUACUCAGCAGUUAUUCAGAAUUUGGAGAAGAACCCGCCUUGCAAUGCCGAAGACAAUUUGCACGCCAGACUCAUCGUCAUUGAAGCCUGGUUCGGGGGCUACUGAGGGAGUCCUGGAUUUGGGGGUCUCCUGACAGUCGGACUAUAUCCUUUCGCCGGACUGUUGGACUAUGAAGAUACAAGAUUGAAGACUUCUUCCCGUGUCCGGAUGGGACUCUCCUUGGCGUGGAAGGCAAGCUUGGCAAUACGGAUAUGUAGAUCUCCUUCCUUGAAACUGACUCUAUGUAACCCUAGCCCCCUCCAGUGUCUAUAUAAACCGAAGGGUUUAGUUCGUAGGACAACAACAAUCAUACCAUAGGCUAGCUUCUAGGGUUUAGCCUCUAUGAUCUCGUGAUAGAUCAACUCUUGUAAUACUCAUAUCAUCAAGAUCAAUCAAGCAGGAAGUAGGGUAUUACCUCCAUCGAGAGGGCCCGAACAUGGGUAAACAUCGUGCCUCCCGCCUCCUGUUACGAACCGCCUUAGACGCACAGUUCGGGACCCCCUACUUGAGAUCCACCGGUUUUGACACCGACAUAGGCCACAUUAUAUUAAUGCACACACCAAAUUACAGCAUGCAUGGCACCUCUUAGAAGAAUUGCAGAGAUAGCACAAAGGGGUUUACAGGGAGGAAGUAUUGGAUUAGAAUCACUUCUGCAUUACAAAGAUAAUCUCACUUAUUUUUAUGUUUUCAUGCAUGUCAGGUAUUGAACAUUAUCAAAAUGAAUAUGAGAAUGGGCGCACGAGAGGAAUAUUACGGAACAAUCCACUGGCUAACAAACUUGGCAUGGUGGAGGAUGGCCUAUCUUAUUCACCCAUCAAGGUGCAUGCUCUAACUUGGCAAGGUUGUAUUGGUCGCACAUAUUUUGCAUCUGACCUCUUGCAUUACUUCUACUUUGUUACACCAUCUGCUUAGUUUAAGCAUCAUAUAUGAGUAUAUGCCAUACCUAUCCAUUUUUUGUACCUAUUCCAUGUGUCUCCAUACUAUGUUUUUCCAGUCAAAUGUUGUUCUUUCGUAAUACAUGUCCAAAAGGAAGAGGGUAAGUGCAGAUCCUCAAGGAGUACAAACUAGGUAUUUGGAAAAGGUAGUGAUACCUGUUAAAUCAAAUAGAUCAGCAGCCACAGAAAACACAGGCCCAACUGUACCAGACUUUACCCCUGCUCCAGUGGCCAAACCCCUAUUAGAACUGCUGAGAGCCCAGCGUCAGGUACUGUCUAUGAUAUCAAUUCAAAAUUUGAACUCCUAAAUUUCUACAUGUGCCUUACCUUCUCUCUUGUAUGAAAGCUAAUUUCAGAUGAAUCUCCUUGCUCAAAGGAUCAUAGGAUCUCACGACAAUACUGGGCUCUGUAUUGCUCUUGUCGGUACCUCUUGCCCUUUGCUAGCAUACUUACACUCAUUGCUAUUUGAUUAUGUAGCAUCACUGUAAAUGUUCGCUUCUUUAUCCUCCCUUUGCUUGAAAUUAUAAUAUCUAUAUUUACUCUUAGAUAAAUGUAGAAUUAACACAAUGGUUAUGAAGUUUUGGAUUGCUCAUGUAAGUACCUGUUGUCAUGUACUCCCUCUGUAUCGAAUUAAUUGUUGAUUAAUUGGAUGUAUUUGGAACUUAAUAUUGCUAGAUACAUCCAUUUCAGCGACAAGUAAUAACGGACGGUGAUGGUAUUACUGUACAUGCAUCGCGAGAUAGUUGAUUGUCUAGCAUUACUCUCCAUCUUAUCUGCCCUGCCCUCCACUUUCUCCAAAUUGUCAUAUCUACAUUUACUAUUACCAAAAUGUUGAAUAAAGCCAAUGCCACUGCACACGUUGAUGUCUGCAUUCCUCUUGUUAGUACCUUUUGCCUUGUAACGUUGUACUUAAUUAGUUGCUAUUUGAUUAUGUAUCAUCAGUCUGCACCUGAGCUUCAUUAUCCUAUAUUUCUUCCAAUAUUAUUUGAUCUAUAUUUACUCUUUGCAAAAUGUAGAAUAAUGUAACGCUUAUAAAGAAUUUUCUUUGUGGAAUUUAUUGAAUUAUCCUUCCAUCAACAUGGAGAAGGGCUUUGUCCAGCCCGUGUUAACAUGUAAUGUAAGUUCAUCCUUCUCAAGCCUUCAAUUUUUUUUCUAGUAUAGAUUUGGAUAGGCAUCAUUUCCCCCACUGCUGUUUACAUCUGAUUGGAUGUUUGCAAAAACUACCGGUUUUAAAUUAUAGUUGUAAAAACAUGUUCCUUAUGCAGAACAGAUCCAUUUAUUUGCUUAUAUAAUUGUGAAACCAGUUACGUGUCUCCUUGUUUCUCUUUCAGAGUCGUAUCUCUUAUGCCAGGUGGGACUUUAGGAAAGAUAGUGAGCCAAACCAUCUUGAGGAGAGCGAGAUGACCCCAAGGUCCUGUCUUGAUGAAGAUAGUGAGUUGAAGCUACUCACCAGCACGCGUGAGACAACCUCUGUGCAGUCACUGCCUCAAUCAGUUUGACUUCUUCAGUCUCAACUUAAAGUGGAAAGGCUUGCUUCAGCUCAGCUCCGACUUAAAGCCAAAGAUGUAAUGAAGAUGUUAGGGGACUGCCUUGCGCACUAUGGUGCCAUACAGCUAGGGAUGAAGCAUCUGUCAUUGACAAAACUGAGGUCUCAUCAGCUUGUUCGGCUGCUUGCGGGCCCGACCUUGCCAGGUCUAUUGCCUUCUGAAGUGCUCUCAGUUUUGUAUAUUCUUUUGUCGGCGCGUUUAUAUGCACUAGUGGCGACCAUUGAUGCACAGUGUAUGUAAUUCGCAAUCAUGUUGCGCUUUAUGAUCACCGGUAGCGAACUUUGAUUCCUAGUGGAUGUAACAGGUCGUAAUUUCUUUAUUGUAUAGUCUAGCUUUAUUCUUUGGUCGGUAUGUUGUAAUAUAGGCCGGAAGGUUCAGUGGAUCUUAGUGUUGUCGGUCUUUAGGCUGGCCCGUUACUCAUAUGGGCCAAAACAUGGGCCUAUAAUCAUCUUGGGCCAUUAGCAGGUCUAAACCUAUAUUUACUGUAGUGACACUCGGCCUCCUACGGGCCAUAGAAACAAUGGGCCUUCUACGGGUCGUAGAAACAAUGGGCCUUCUACAGGCCGUAGAAACAAUGGGCCUUAUAUGGGCCAUAUGAUCGAUUGGCCAAAUAUGGGCCAAAAGCAGACGCAUUAUGGCCGUAAACGGGCUAGAGUUGGAGUCGUUCGUUCAUGGGCCGACCAUAAUGGGCCGUCGUUAAUAGGCUGUAUUUGAUGAUGCUAUGAAAAUGGACCAACAUAUUAACGGGCCACAAAUGGGCCGACUGUAACCACGGGCUGAAUUUGGCCCACAAGCAGAAAAUUGCAGUAACAGGCCGUAAGUAACCGAAUGCUGGAAAUGAGCCCAAGAAUAAAUGGGCCCUGAGAAGGCCGAAAGAUAACAUGGGCUGCAAACGACCCAAUGGAUUAAUGGGUCGUUAAUGGGUAUAAAGUGAUACACUGUUCAUUACGGGCCAGUUUCACCACGGGCCGUUAAUGGGCCAAGAGUUACAAAGGGCCUCAUAUGGGCCGAAAGAUGUCAUGGGCCAUACAUGGGCCAGAACUUAAAAUGGGCUGGAAUCAUAUUGGACGGCCCAGAUGACGCUAUUGGGCCUAAUUCGGAUAGGUCGUAACGGGCCUCGGGUUAGCGAGCUAUAAAUGGGCUAUAUGCGAACAAGCCAUUAACAGGCUUUCCUUGGGCCGGCCCGCCACCUUUUGACCAAGUCAAACGGGCCGGCCUUUCAACAGGAAUGGUCCAUUGUUCAGACGUGCCACAUGUUGACGUAUCAUAGGCGCCUUCGGUCCAAUGAGUGGAUGACAUCUAUCCCAACGGUGAGCCGACACGUGUUUCCUCCAGCCAAUGAUGAUUGUACACGUGGAAAAUCCCCACUGGUCGGGGCUGUUAGCGGGUUAUCGGAUCCAAAACCGGACCCGAUAGCUUAACGAUGUUCCAUUACGGUGGAUGCCACAUGUCGGUCACCCUUGACGAAAGCACUUCUGUGACGCAUGAUUAAUCAUCAUGGAAGUGGACAGUUCCGUGAUGAUAAUUUUGGUAAUGUCAUGGAACACUUCUAUGACAGCACAGGUAUGACUACCUUGAUUCUGUCAUAAAAUCGUCAUGGAUGUACAUGCAUGACAAAAAAUGUGACCUACUGUGACAAACAUGUAUCAUCACGAAAGUGUAUUUUUUGUAGUGUUGAUGACCCAUAAGUAUAUGCGAUCGAUUGUAGCUCUUUUCGAUAAGUAAGAGUGUCGACCCAACGAGGAGCAGAAGGAAAUGACAAGUAGUUUUUAACAAGGUAAUGUCUGCAAGUGCUGAAAUUGUAAGUAACAGAGUAGUUUGAUAGCAAGAUAAUUUGUAACGAUCAAGCAACGAUGAUAGUAGCAAAAGUGCAGCAAGGUAGCCCAAUCCUUCUGAGGCAAAGGACAGGCCAAAACGGUCUCUUAUAGUAAGCAAAGCGUUCUAGAGGGUACACGGGAAUUUCAUCUAGUCACUUUCAUCAUGUUGAUUCGAUUCAUGUUCGCUACUUUGAUAAUUUGAUAUUUGGGUGGACAGGUGCUUAGGUGAUGUUCUUACUUGAACAAACCUCCUACUUAUGAUUAACCCCCUCGCAAGCAUCCGUAACUACGAGAAAAGUAUUAAGGAUAAAUCCUAACCAUAGCAUUAAACUUUUGGAUCCAAUCGGCCCCUUAUGGAAUAGUGCAUAAACUAGCGUUUAAGCUUCUGUCACUCUCGCAACCCAUCAUAUAAUAACUACUCCACAAUCAAUUCCCUUAGGCCAAAAUAUGGUGAAGUGUCAUGUAGUCGACGUUCACAUGACACCACUAAGGGAAUCACAACAUACAUACUAUCAAAAUAUCGAACACAUAUCAAGUUCACAUGAUUACUUUCAACAUGAUUUCUCCCGUGACCUCAAGAACAAAAGUAAAUACUCACAAGUGAUAAACAUGCUCAAGACCAUAGGAGUAUUAAAUAGCAUAAUGGAUCUUAACAUAUAAUCUUCCACCAAAUAAACCAUAUAGUAAUCAACUACAAGAUAUAAUCAACACUACUAGUCACCCACAAGCACCAAUCUAUAGUUCCGGUACAAAGAUUGAACACAAGAGAUGAACUAGGGUUUGAGAGGAGAUGGUGCUAUUGAAGAUGUUGAUGGAGAUUGCCCUCCCCAAGAUGGGAGAUUUGUUGGUGAUGAUGAUGACGAUGAUUUCCCCCUCUGGGAGGGAAGUCCCCCCGGCGGAAUCGCAUCGCCAGAGGGAAAAAGUGCUCCUGCUCAAGUUCCGCCUUGAGACAGCGGCGCCCAGUCCCGAAAGUCCUCUCUUGAUUUUUUUCUAGAUCAAAAUGACUUAUAUACCAGAAGAUGGACGCCUGAGGUGGGCCGAGGGGGCACAACCCACCAAGGCGCGCAUGGGCUCCCUGGCAUACCCAGGUGGGUUGUGCCCACCUGGUGGGCCCCCUCUGGUACUUAUUGGCUGCAAUAUUCCUCAUAUAUUCCAUAAAAAAUCACCGUAAAGUUUCAGCUUGUUUGGUGUUGUGCAGAAUAGGUAACCCGGCAUAGCUUUUCCAGGUCCAGAUUUCCAGCUGCUGAAAUUCUCCCUCUUUGUCUAUACCUUGCAUAUUAUGAGAUAAAAUGCAUUAGAAUUACUCCAAAAAGCAUUAUUAUGCAUAAAAACAUCAUAAAUAACAGUAGAAAAAUAUGAUGCAAAAUGGACGUAUCAAUCGGCAGCCAACCAGCUGGGUCGGAACAGAGGAAACCACGUCGUGUUCAUCGAGAGGCAAGCGGCUGGGUUGGAAUGCGUCAUAUUCAUUGGGAGCCAACCGACUUGGACGGAACAGCCCAAACCGGGUCAUGUUCAUUGACUCGGGGUCUCGCAUCCUGUAAAAUGGUGGAAACAAAGUUCUCUUUGACCGCCUACGGUCAAAAUGGGGUCAUGUCCAUCCGGAGGGAUCUUCCAUACCACAAAACAGAAGAAACAGACUUCUCUCCAAGUGCGUAUGGUCGAAAUGGGGUCCUAUUCAUCGGGAGGGCUUUGGCGUACCGCUAAACAGAGGAAUGACCUUCUCUCAACCACCUAUGGUCGAAACAGGGUCCUGUUCAUCGGAGGGGUGUGUGGCGUCCGCAAAACGGGACUCCACAGGCUACUGUUCAUCCACCCUCCAUGGGGUUUUGGUCAUCCAGCGGCAACCGCAUACUACCACGGGGUCCUGUUCAUCCAGCACAACCGCGUACUACCACGGGGUCCUGUUCAUCCAGCGGCAACUACCUACACACAGUCGGGGUCCUGUUCAUCCAACCCCCACCGAGAAUUGUUCAUCCACAGCUAACCCAACCGGCUUGACUCACCACAUCUCGACUCAUUCUACGUAUCGCGUGCGCGGCAGCAAUGGGCUUUGUUCAUCCAGAGGCAACCAAACCAGCUAGCUAAGUCUCGCACGGGGGUUCCGAUCUGCUUCAGUAAUUAAGCAGCAGCAGCGAUCGAUCGGGUUCAGUUAGCAGCGAAGGAGUCGAUCGGGUUCAGUUAGCAGUGAAGGGAUCGAUCAAUCGGCUUCAGUACGUACCAGCACGCGACCACUCGGGUUCAAUAAAGUGAAAUCCUCUCGCUCGGGAUCAGUUAUAGCAACACGGCUUGCACCACGUGCGCGUACGAGAGAAAAGCGCAAACCACAGUGCAUCGCUCGGCCCCGACCAACCCACCGUAACCGGGAAUUCCGCAAAAGUUUCCUCGCCCUCACUUCUACCAUGAUUUUUUAUUUCAUGGACGACCCAAAGAAUGUCAUGCAGCUGCGUCCCUGGCCCGCCCAAGAUGAAAAGCCCAUUUUCUGUCAUGAUUUUUUGUCAUAGAAGUAGGAUCCCACAACAUCUAUGAUGAUACGUGCUUUUGUCUCGUCAUAGAAGUGUCAUAAGCAUGACAAAAAAAAUCGUUCGGCCCAUAAUGUCACAGAUGUGUCUUUUUUAUAGUGUAUGCUAUUUUGUGUUAUUUUGGGGGUAACUUAUUAACCUAAAUCCCAAUGCUAGUUUUCGUUUUUCCCCAGUUUUGAGUUUUAUAGAAAAGGAACAUCAAACGGGUCCAAACGGAAUAAAACUUUCGCGAUGAAUUUUAUUGGACCAGAAGACAUCCACGGAGCUUGGAGAGGGGACAGAAGAGUCCCUAGGGCUCCACAAGCCCUCAAGGCGCACCCUAGGGGGGCACCCCUGGCUUAUGGGCCCCACGAGACUCCUCCAACCCUAAUUUUUGCUCUAUAAAUUCCCAAAUAUUCCCAAAUGACGAGAAGCGUCUACCAAAAUACUUUUACGCUGCCGCAAGCCUCUAUUCCCGUGAGGUCCCAUCUUGAGGCCUUUUCUGGCACGCUGCCGGAGGGGGGUUCGAUCACGGAGGGCAUCUACAUCAACUCUAUUGCCCUUCUGAUGAAGCGUGAUUAGUUUACCAUAGACCUACAGGUCCAUAGCUACUAGCUAGAUGGCUUCUUCUCUCUCUAUGAUCUUCAAUACCAUGUUCUCCUUUAUGUUCUUGGAGUCCUAUCCAAUGUAAUAUUCUUUUUGCGGUGUGUUUGUUAAGAACCGAUGAAUUGUGGAUUUAUGAUCAAAUUAUAUAUGAAUAUUAUUUGAGUCUUUUCUGAAUUCUUAUAUGCAUGAUCAAAUAUCUUUGUUUUUCUCUUUGAAUUAUUGGUUUGGUUUGGCCAACUAGAUUGGUUCUUCUUGUAAUGGGAGAGGUGCUUAGUUUUGGGUUCAAUCUUGCGGUGUCCUCACCCAGUCAAAUAGUAGGGGUAGCGAGGCACGUAUUGUAUUGUUGCCAUCAAGGUUAAAAAGACGGGGUUUUCAUCAUAUUGCUUGAGUUUAUCCCUCUACAUCAUGUCAUCUACUUAAGGCGUUCCUCCGUUCUUAUGAACCUAAUACUCUAGAUGCAUGCUGGAUAGCGGUUGAUGUGUGGAGUAAUAGUAGUAGAUGCAGGCAGGAAUCGGUCUACUUGACACGGACGUGAUGCAUAUAUCAUGAUCAAUGCCUUGGGUAUCAUCAUAACUUUGCGAUUUUCUAUCAAUUGCUCGACACUCAUUUGUUCACCCAUCAUAUUAUUUUCUUUCAAGAGAGGAGCCUCUAGUGAAACCUAUGGCCGUCGGGUCUAUUUUCCAUCAUAUAUUUUCAUAUCUAUAAACCAAAAAACCUAAAAAUACUUUGCUGUAAUUUAUUUGUUUUUACUUUUUUUACGUUUUAGUAAUAUUUUGUAUCUAUCUCUAUCAGAUCUCAUCCUUGCAAGUGACCAUGAAGGGAUUGACAACCCCUUUACCGCAUUGGAUGCAAGUGUUUGAUUGUUUGUGCAGGUGCAUAGAUUGGAGACUUGCGUGUACCUCCUACUGGAUUAAUACCUUGGUUCUCAAAACUAAGGAAAAUAAUUAUCUCUACUUUGCUGCAUCACCCUUUCCUCUUCAAUGGAAAAACCAACGCAAGCUCAAGAAGUAGCAGGAAGAAUUUCUAGCGCUGUUGCCGGGGAGGUUCUACACCAAGCCUACCAAAUACCCAUCAUAAACUCCCAUCUCAUGCAUUACAUUAUUUUCCAGUUGCCUCUUGUUUUCCUCUCCCCCACUUCUAAAACAUUUCUAGAAAAACACAAAAAUAUUUUCCUUUUUAUUCGCCCUUCUUUCGUUCACCCUUAUGUCUUACUUGGUUUGUUUGCUCGUUUACCUGGUAUAAUUGUGUGUUUAUUGAAAAUCAGAAGCAAAGAGUUUAUGGAUCCUCAUCCACAUGCUAAUCCUUUUAACAUAUCCAACUAUUAUAAACCAAUUGCUAGUGAGUUGAGUGCACUAGAUUAUCUUUAUGAAGUUUUUCUCGAAAUCCUUUAAUCUGAAAAUUGUGAUGAAGUGCCUUAUGAAGUGAAUCAUGAUAGAUCCUUGAGUAAAAAGCAUGAUUGCAAUGAUGUUAUUCUAAAUUCUAUUAAUGUCAAUAGUGCUAAUAAUAUGCCAAACCCUAAGCUUGGGGAUGGUAAUUUUGUUAUGUCCAUUACUUAUUGUAAUGAUCAUGAUUGGGGUGAUAAUGCUUCUUAUGAUCUUCAAAAUUUAUUUAAGCCUCAUGAUAAUAAUGUUUGCUAUAAUAUUGAAAGUGGGUUUGGAAGAGUGUCAACUUUAGGAAAUAGUGAUCCCACUACUUUGGAGAUUGAUCAAUCUUAUGAAAUUUUUGACAAAAGUGGGCUUGGAGAAGUAUCGACUUUAUUCUAUGUUAAUCCCAUUAUUUUGGAAGAGUGUCAACUUUGCAUGCAUGUGGAUUAUGAAGAGAAUAUUUUAUGUGAUAGCUAUAUUGUUGAAUUUGAAUAUGAUCCCACAUGUAAUUAUUAUGAGAGAGGGGAAUAUUGUUGUAGAAAUUUUCAUGUUACUAAAUUCCCUCUAUUCAUGUUGAGAUUGUCAAUGUUUUAUUCUGCUUCCUUCCAUAUGCUAAUUUUUGCUAGUUUUAAGAAUUUGAUUGCUCAUAAAAUGCCUAUGCAUAUGUAACAUCCCAAAUUUUCAAUUUGGAAUGUUAUACAUAGGUCAUCAUAUGCAUAUCAUAUUUUUAAUUGCAUUUUUGGUUUUUGAUCCUAGAAAUUCUAAGCAACUCAAGGACCCACGGAGAGAGUUGGGGAUUUCAUUUAUUUUCAUAUUUGAAUUUUCCUCAAAUAUUGAAAAGAGGAUCAAUUUGGUUCUAAUUAUUUUUCUCUCCGAAAAUAUUUCCAAUACAAAAUUAAAGAGAAGGGAUAAUAUGACUUCUUCGAAAUAAAAUAAACAUUGGAGGAAAAAUAUUUAAAAUCAAAUAAAUAUUUUAUUUGGAUUUUAUUUGUUAUUUUAUUUGAAUGAGAAAAUAUGCAUUUUUCAAAAUUUGCAUUUUUAGGCCAAGAAAAUGUUCACUAUGUUCUAAAUAUUUUUAUUUAGACGAUGAAAAUUGUUUUGGCAUUUUUAGAUUUUUUUUUAUAUUUAUUUAGGAUUUUUUCCCUUUCGGUGGAAUUGUUUAAGAAAAGACACCCGGACCGAACUGGGCCGAGGCCCAGCCGGCCCGCUCGCGCCACAGCCUCCCUCGCGCCGCGCCGUCGCCGGCACGAACGCCGAGGCAGAGUCCGGACCAGACUCCACCUCGGGUCGGCCCCCUCCCCAAGUCAACCCCCCCNNNNNNNNNNNNNNNNNNNNNNNNNNNNNNNNNNNNNNNNNNNNNNNNNNNNNNNNNNNNNNNNNNNNNNNNNNNNNNNNNNNNNNNNNNNNNNNNNNNNNNNNNNNNNNNNNNNNNNNNNNNNNNNNNNNNNNNNNNNNNNNNNNNNNNNNNNNNNNNNNNNNNNNNNNNNNNNNNNNNNNNNNNNNNNNNNNNNNNNNNNNNNNNNNCGCUGGUUUUCGCCCGAGAACCGAUAAUAAACUCGCAAAGCCGCCGCCGUUUUUUAAACCCUAGAUCGGUUUUUUAGAUCGGUUCGGUUUUUCUCCGAUUUUCUCGGCUUAGGUUAUUCAACGAACGUUCGUUCGUUAGUUUGUUUUAAUGAACACUUUUCGCCCGUUCGUCUCUGUUAACAAACGUUCGCACCGUAGUAUUUUUCUUUUUAUUUUAUUUUUGGCCAGGGAUCUAUCCACGAUUAUUUUUAUCGCGGAUUAGCCCCUGAUCUUCAAACCCUCGCAACUUUUUAACCGUUCGUCCAAAUCCAGUGAAACCAACGCCAAAAUCUCCGUCUCGAGCCCCUCUUUCCAAUAGUGAAGGAUUACCCUGGUGUAUUUCCAGAGGAGCUACCAGGAAUGCCGCUGGAUCGAGACAUUGAGUUUUUGAUCAAGCUGUUGCCAGGCACUAGACCAAUAUCAAAGAGACCAUACCGGAUGCCCACAAAUGAUCUGGAAGAGAUUAAGAAGCGGAUUAAGGAGUUAUUGGAGAAAGGUUACAUUCGACGAUGUUCGUCACCGUGGGGAGCACCAGUACUUUUGGUUGAGAAGAAGGAUGGAUCUUUGAGAAUGGUUGUUGAUUAUCGUGCACUAAAUGAAGUGACGAUCAAGAACAAGUGCCCACUGUUGAUGAUCAAUGAUUUGUUUGAUCAGUUGCAAGGAGCUAAAGUAUUCUCCAAGAUCGAUCUAUGAUCAGGAUACCACUAGUUGAAGAUCCGAGAACAGGAUAUAACUAAGACAGCCUUCACCACAAGGUACGCAUUAUACGAGUACACGGUUAUGUCAUUUGGAUUGACCAAUGCCCUUGCCUACUUCAUGAGUAUGAUGAAUAAGGUAUUCAUGGAGUUCUUGGAUAAGUUUGUUGUGGUAUCCAUUGAUGAUAUCUUGGUAUACUCGAAGAAUGAAGAGGAGCACAAGGAGCAUUUGCAUCUAGUUCUCGAGAAGCUCAGGGAACAUCAGUUGUAUGCUAAGUUCAGCAAGUGUGAGUUUUGGUUAAAGGAAGUUGGAUUUCUUGGCCAUGUUAUAUCAGGAGAAGGUAUAGCAGUGGAUCCUACCAAGGUUCAGUCUGUCACUGAGUGGUUGGCACCCACCUCAGUUGGAGAGAUCCGCGGUUUUCUUGGACUCGUGGGAUACUAUCGGAGAUUCAUAGAGAACUUUUCUAAGAUUGUGAAGCCCAUGACGGAGUUGCUGAAGAAAGACGCUAAGUUUAAAUGGACAGAAGAAUGUGAGGCAAGUUUUCAGGAGUUUAAGAAAAGUUUGGUUACAGCCCUAGUGCUGAUUCUGCCGAAUAUACGCAAAGAUUUCGAAGUGUAUUGCGACACUUCUCGCUUAGGACUUGAAGGUGUACUUAUGCAGGAUGGAAGAGUUGUUUCAUAUGCCUCACGUCAGCUUCGACCGCAUGAGUUGAUUUAUGCCAUGCAUGAUUUCGAGUUAGCAGCUGUAGUGCAUGCACUCAAGACCUGGAGACAUUUUCUUAUUGGAAAUUGUUGUGAUGUGUACACGGAUCAUAAGAGUUUGAAGUACAUUUUCACACAGAAGGAGCUGAAUCUCAGGCAAAGGAGAUGGUUGGAGCUUAUAAAAGAUUAUGACAUGAAGUUGCACUAUCAUCCAGGCAAGGCCAAUGUCGUAGCAGACGCUUUGAGCCGGAAGGGUUAUGCCAAUACCCUCAUAAGAGGAGGAUUACCAAAGGAGUUGGCUGAAGAUCUCAGGGAGCUACGUUUGGAGAUAGUCCCUAGAGGUUUUGUUGCAGCAUUGGAAGUUCUGUCAACAAUAUUAGGAAAGAUUUGAGAAGCUCAGAAGGAUGAUAAGGAAAUUGCUGAGAUAAAAGAGAGGAUGAGCAAAGGAAAAGCCAAAGGUUUUCGUGAGGAUGAGCACGAUACCUUAUGGUUUGAGGACCGUGUUUAUGUGCCCAAUAAUGCAGAGAUCAGGAAGUUGAUACUUCAGGAAGCUCAUGACUCGCCAUACUCGAUACACACUAGAAACACCAAAAUGUAUUUGGAUUUGAAGGAGCGUUUCUGGUGGACGGGUAUGAAGAAGGAUAUUGCCGAGUAUGUAGCCGUAUGUGAUGUAUGUCAAAGAGUGAAGGCAGAACAUCAGAAGCCAGCAGGAAUACUGCAGCCGAUGCCGAUACCUGAAUGGAAGUGGGAUAAGCUUGGCAUGGAUUUCAUCACCGGAUUUCCUAGGACCCGAUCAGGAUAUGAUUCAAUCUGGGUAGUAGUGGAUCGUUUGACCAAAGUGGCUCACUUUAUCCCAGUGAAAACCACCUAUACGAGUGGGAAGUUGGCCUAGAUAUAUAUGACCAGGAUCGUAUGUCUGCAUGGAGUUCCGAGGACCAUCGUAUCAGAUAGAGGAACACGGUUUACCUUGAAGUUUUGGAAUCAGCUGCACUAGACUUUGGGUACCACGCUAGAGUUUAGUACAACCUUUCAUCUGCAGACAUAUGGAUAGACCGAGAGAGUCAAUCAGAUUCCGAAGGACAUGUUGAGAGCUUGUGCGCUAGAUUAUGGAUCUAGUUGGGAUGAUAAUUUACCUUACGCGGAGUUCUCAUACAACAACAACUAUCGAGCCAGUUUGAAUAUGGCCCCUUUGAAGCUUUAUAUGGAAGGACGUGCCGGACACCGUUGAUGUGGGAUGAAGUUGGAGACCGUCAGUUGUUUGGACCAGAUUUGAUCAUAGAGUCCGAAGAGAAGGUUAAGUUGAUUCACGAUAGACUCAAGGUAGCUCAGUCCAGGCAAAAGAGUUAUGCAGACUCGAAACGCAAGGAGGUAGUCUAUGAAAUCGGAGACAAAGCGUAUCUUCGCGUGUCACCUCUGCGAGGAGUUAAACAUUCUGGAGUUAAGGGAAAGUUAGCCCCGAGAUUUGUAGGACCAUACCGAGUUUUGGAACGUAUGGGAGAAGUGGCCUACAAGUUGGAGUUACCUGAAGGACUGUCAGGAGUUCAUGAUGUGUUUCACGUUUCCUAGUUGAAGAAGUGCCAUGCUGAGAUAGCCGAUAUUCCUCUGAGAGAUACAGUGCCCCUGGAGGAAAUUCAGUUGGAUAGUGAUUUGACGUACUAGGAGAAACCAGCAAGAUUCUCGAGUUUGCCAACCGAGUUACACGCAGCAUGGUUAUCAAGUUUUGCAAAGUUCAGUGGAGCCACCAUACCGAGGAUGAAGCCACCUGGGAAUGAGAGGAAGACCUACGGAAAGACCACCCACACCUAUUUUCUAGCCAACCCGAAUCUCGAGGGUGAGAUUCACCUUAAGGGGGGUAGGUUUGUAACAUCCCACAUUUCAAUUUGGAAUGUUAUGCAUAGGUCAUCAUAUGCAUAUCAUAUUUUUAAUUGCAUUUUUGGUUUUUGAUCCUAGAAACUCUAAGCAACUCAAGGACCCACAGAGAGAGUUGGGGAUUUCAUUUAUUUUCAUAUUUGAAUUUUCCUCAAAUAUUGAAAAGAGGAUCAAUUUGGUUCUAAUUAUUUUUCUCUCCAAAAGUAUUUCCAAUACAAAAUUAAAGAGAGGAGAUAAUAUGACUUCUCUGAAAUAAAAGAAAUAUUGGAGGAAAAAUAUUUAAAAUCAAAUAAAUACUUUAUUUCAAUUUUAUUUGUUAUUUUAUUUGAAUUAGAAAAUAUGCAUUUUUUGAAAUUUGCAUUUUUGGGCCAAGAAAGUGUUCACUAUGUUCUAAAUAUUCUAUUUAGAUGGUGAAAAUUGUUUUUGGCAUUUUUAGAAUUUUUUUAUAUUUAUUUAGGAUUUUUCCUUUUGGCGGAAUUGUUUAAAAAAAGACUCCCGGACCGAACUGGGCCGAGGCCUAGCCGGACCGGUCGCGCCAUCGCCUCCCUCGUGCCGCACCGUCGCCGGCACGAACGCAGAGGCAGAGUCCAAGCCGGACUGCACCUCGGGCCGGCCCCCUCCCCAAGUCAACCGCCGGCCCUCCCACUAUAAAUGUUGCCGCCCCGCCCUCCUCUGCCCUCGUCCCGCCCCACCGCCGCAACCACCGCNNNNNNNNNNNNNNNNNNNNNNNNNNNNNNNNNNNNNNNNNNNNNNNNNNNNNNNNNNNNNNNNNNNNNNNNNNNNNNNNNNNNNNNNNNNNNNNNNNNNNNNNNNNNNNNNNNNNNNNNNNNNNNNNNNNNNNNNNNNNNNNNNNNNNNNNNNNNNNNNNNNNNNNNNNNNNNNNNNNNNNNNNNNNNNNNNNNNNNNNNNNNNNNNNNNNNNNNNNNNNNNNNNNNNNNNNNNNNNNNNNNNNNNNNNNNNNNNNNNNNNNNNNNNNNNNNNNNNNNNNNNNNNNNNNNNNNNNNNNNNNNNNNNNNNNNNNNNNNNNNNNNNNNNNNNNNNNNNNNNNNNNNNNNNNNNNNNNNNNNNNNNNNNNNNNNNNNNNNNNNNNNNNNNNNNNNNNNNNNNNNNNNNNNNNNNNNNNNNNNNNNNNNNNNNNNNNNNNNNNNNNNNNNNNNNNNNNNNNNNNNNNNNNNNNNNNNNNNNNNNNNNNNNNNNNNNNNNNNNNNNNNNNNNNNNNNNNNNNNNNNNNNNNNNNNNNNNNNNNNNNNNNNNNNNNNNNNNCGCCGCGCCGCCUGCUGCCCUGCCGCGUCGCGGAGCGCCGCCUCACCUCGCCACCCUGUUGACCCGCGCCGCCGCCGGAUCUCGCCGCCGCCGCCUAUUUUCGCCCGAGAACCCGUAACAAACCCGCAAAGCCGCCGCCGUUUUUUAAACCCUAGAUCGGUUUUUUUAGAUCGGUUCGGUUUUUCUCUGGUUUUCUUGGUUUAGGUUAUUCAACGAACGUUCGUUCAUUAGUUCGUUUUAACGAACACUUUUCGCCCGUUCGUCUCUGUUAACGAACGUUCGCGCCGUAGUUUUUUUCUUUUUAUUUUAUUUUCGGCCAGGGAUCUAUCCACGAUUAUUUUUAUAGUAGAUUAGCCCCUGAUCUUCAAACCCUCGCAACGUUUUAACCGUUCGUCACUACACCACGAUAGAGCUUCCGUGAGUUGUAGCUAACACCAAUGCUGACAGAAAGAUGAAAGAGUCGGAGGACUUGCUGUGAGCAAAGGUAUUGCCGACAGUUGUUUACUUCCCGACACUUUUUUAGUCGCCAUACACCCUACCUACGCCGACAGAUGGUAUGUCCACAUACACCCUACAUAUGCUGACACUUUAUAAGAGAACAUACACCCUACCUUUGCCGAUAGAUAGCGUGUCCACAUACACCCUACUUAUGCCGACACUUUAUUAGCCACAUACACCAUAUCUAUGCCAACAGAUAGUCUAUCAGACUACACCCUACCUACACCGACAGAUAUUGCCUUUUGCCGACAGAUAAAUUGCCGGUAAAGACAUGCAGCCAAAACAAUAUAUACAAGCUCUAAACAGAUGCAAUCAUUAUCCGCACAUCUAGAAGCAGGUUCAAGAUGAACACAUACUGUACAACAAUGAAAUAUAUUCACAAACGUGCAUAUGACAAACACAUCAAUCUUGACAAAGCAUAGUUUUUACCAUCUUAACAAUCAUCCAGAACACACAAGUCACAAAAAGAUAGCGCUAUUUGCUGGUAUGAGAGACUUCAACUAGAUGGUCCAGAACAUACAAGUCUGUAUCCACAUGCACAAAAUGCAAGCUCCGAAAUAACAAAACAACAAAUGGUCUAGAAGACACAUAAGAUCCAUGAUUACAAGUUGAUUGGUCCAUAAACGCCACAAAGUCAUCACGUCCAUGCACCAGUUGGCCAAGUGCCUGAAAUAUUUUC
rnacentral:lncRNA from 1 species